rnacentral:lncRNA from 1 species
GAAGACCAUGGUUGUUUUGGAAUGGGUAAUGGCUGAAGAAGUCCAAAAGGUCGAUGACGAGGAGUUUUUGAUCUUGAGCAAACAUCACAUGAUUGUACAAAAUCUUUGACUGCCUUCCAUAUUUGAGGCCACCAAAAAUGCCUAGAUAUCAGCUCCAAAGUCUUAUUAUAUCCAAAAUGUCUUACUGCUGGAAAGUCGUGAUGAGCUUGAAGAAUACGUAAACGUGCUUCUCCUUUUGGAAUAUAUAGGCAUCCUUCGAAAUAGAGUAGGUUGUUCUUGAAUUGAAAUUAAGAGGGAUCAUGAGAUUUAGAAGAAUUAUUCUUAAUAUCAUGAACUAGAGGGUCUAAAGACAUACUUAAUUGGACUAACUUAAAAAAAGUUAAAUCAACAGUCAAUGUUGAUUUUAUUGCUCAAAGAUAAAAUUGCUCCGGCUUCAAGAAAAGCGUUCUUUGUUGCUCAAAAGCUGCAUCUCCUUCUUUUGGUGCAAGAUAAGAACGUCUAGACAAGGCAUUGGACAAACCUUGUUGUUUUCCUGGUCGAUAAGUGAUGAUGAACUCGAAUCUUGAUAAAGACAUGCUUCAACGAGCUUGAUAACAAUUUAAUAUGCAUGCUGACAUAAAAUACUCAAGGUUCUUGUGAUCCGUAUAUACGGUGAUUGGAUUGGAAGCGCCUUCUAGAUAAUGAUGCCUUUCUUGAAAAGAAUCUACGAUUGCAAGAAGUUCUUUGUCGUGGAUCUCAUAAUUAAUUUCUGCUACUGAGAAUUUUCUUGAAUGAAAGGCUACUAGAUGAAGUUUGUCCUCUGUUCCCAUUUGUGAUAAAACCACAUCCAGAGCAAAGUCUGAUGCAUCUAUUUCCAUAGAGAAUGCUUUGGAAAAAUCAACACAAUACAAGAUUGGUGCAGAAACAAACGUUGUCUUCAAAGAUUCAAAAGCAACUUCUGCUUCUUGAUUCCAUUGGAGUUUGGCUUUACAAGUCAAACAUGUGACAGGAGCUGCAAGUCGAGAGAAGUCCUUCAUGAAGAUUCGAUAGUAGUUGGCAAAUUCCAAAAAACAUUAGACAUCUCUUACCGUUUUUAGGAUCUUCCAAUCUAUAAUAGUUUGAACUUUCUUAGGAUCCAUCAUAAGUCCAUCAUUUGAAAUGAUGUAACCUAAGAAAUCAACUUGAGUAGUAUAGAAUAUACACUUUUCUAUCUUGGCAUAGAAUCCUACAUCUCUUAAUUUUUGUAAUACAUGACAAACAUGAAGUUCAUGUUCUUCUGGAUUUUUAGAAUAGAUCAAGAUGUCGUCUAGAUAACAGACCACAAAAUCGUCUAAAAAUUCUCGAAAAAUAUCAUUCAUUAGAUGUUGAAAAGCUGCUGGUGCAUUUGUAAGUCCAAAAGGCAUGACAUUGUAUUCAAAAUGUCCAUACCUAGUUCAAAAUGCAGUCUUCCAUUCAACUCCUUCUUUGAUGAGUACUAGAUUGUAUGCUCCCGAGAGAUCUAUUUUUGUAUAGAUCUUAGCUUGAUUCAACUGAUCAAGAAGUUCAGAUAUUAAAGGUAGUGGAUACCUGUUCUUGAUAGUAAUCUUGUUGAGUCUUCGAUAAUCAACACACAUCCGCAAUGAUCCAUCUUUUUUCUUCACAAAUAGAAUUGGAGCUCCUGCCACAAAUUUAGAAUGGCGCAUGAAAUUCUUGGCUAGAUUUUCUUCAAUAUACUCCUUGAAUUCAGUCAACUCAUUUUGUGAUAAACUGUAGAUUGGUCCGAAUGGCAAUUGUACUCCUUCUUGAAGGUCAAUUGAGCAAUCAUAGGGACAAGGUUUCGGGAGUGUAUCUGCAUUUUUUUUUUUCGAAUACAUCUUGAAAUUCUUGAUAUUGGCUUGGAAUGCCACUUGAAGUCUUUCCACCAGUAGAAACAGGUGUGGCAUAAAUAAUAUAUGGUGAUUCUUUCAUAGUAGCAUGCAAGAAAGCUUUUGUAUUUAUAAAUACGGGUUUAAUUGAACUAGAAUUAUGACUCUCUACUUGAUUAACCACACUAUUAGUUAUACUUUUAGAGAAAGUAAGAGUUCGGAAAAUCCAAUCUAUUUGAAGGUUGUAUUUUUUUAACCAUGAUAAACCUAAAAUAACUGGAUUAGAGGGAGAUCUAAUGAUAUUAAAUACUACAAAGCUAUUAUGACCAUUGAUUAUUACUUCUAUAGGAAGGGUUUUGUGAGUAAUAUUUCCAAAAGAUAAUGGAAGACGAUCUAUAACUUCUACAUGAACAGGUUUAGUUUUCUUUACUAAAGAUAUGCUAUGUCUUUUAGUAAAUUCUUCAUCUAAGAAACACGUUGAGGCUCCUAAAUCUAACAAGGCAGAGGCUUUGUAAUAUUUAGGUCCUAAAAUAACAUUUAAUGUAAAACAAGGAGAGGGCUCUAAGGAGAGAAUAAGACCUUUACUAGAUGUUGUGUAAGGUUCCAGCGGCACAAUCCCUAUUAUAGUUGGACAAACUCGUUUUCCGACAUAUUAUCUUCUUUCACAGCCAUACUCCUCAUUUUGUGAUUACGUCAUUUCUUUGGACAAUGUUGAGUAGUGUGCUUUGAUUCUCCACAAUAUAAACAUAAUCCUUCUUGACAACGACGAGUCUUUUCUUGUUCAAUAAGAGGUUUGAAACGUACUGCAUCAAUUUGCAUAUCCUCUACUUUCGAAUGCAUGUGUUGAAGAGGUGUUGGUGUUGCCAUUGAAUUGUAGUAACGUUGAGGUUGGUUCUCAGAUCAGAAUUCAAAAAGGCGAUUGUUGCACUUCACAACAAAGUCAAUUGCUUGACUCAAUGUUUGAGGAUCAGGUAAGUUGAACAUUAAUUUUUUUUACCUCAUAUUAUAAUUCGUAGAGAAAUUGGCUAAUAAGUGUAGCAUCAUCCCACUUGAUAUCAGUUGCAAGUUGUCAAAAUUGUGAAGUGUACAACGUUACUGAUCGAUUACCUUAUCGUAAAAUACGGAUCUUAUUGGUUGCAAUACGAAUUACAUCAUGUUCUCCAUACAUGGAUCGAAACUCUGCUAGAAAAGCCUCUAAAUUAUCUAAUAUUGGAUCUCAUCGUUCAAGAAAAGAUGAAAACCAUGAUAGUGCUGAACCUGAAAGAAGCAUAUCAAUGAAUCUAACUUGCGAUCCUGGAGUUGGAUAGCUUUGGGGUUGCAGUUCAAUCACAAGUUGCACUUGAUUGAUAAAUCCUUGAAACUUGGAUCUGAUGCCAUCAAACUUCUCGGAUAGGAUAACUCUUGGUUCUCUAACACUGGAAGGGCGUUCCACCAUAGGAGAAAGGACAUGAUUUGGUGCAGAUGUUGAAGCAGCUCCAACCAUUUCUAUAUCUUCACUUCCUGUCAAUCUUGUUGCUCCUUGUGGUGGUAAAUUGAGUUGAUGCCUUGCAAGCAUUAACUCUUUCAAUUGCUCUUAUAUUUAUGCCAUUGCACUCUUCAUUUCAACAAGUUCUACUAUGAUAACACUUAGAAAAGAGAAGAUGUCUAAAAUCGCUCAAGACAAAUAGAAGAGAGGACUUGAGAACAAAGAAAAUACUAAAGACAAUAUCAGUUUUGAAGAGGGUAAUCUGCAACUUCUAAUAUGCUUAUAUCUUAUCAAAAAAAAGAAGUAACCCACUCUUAAUCAAGAUUAGAUAAAGCUCUGACAUUGUAGGUGUACUCUUAUCAAUCUGUCAAGGACAAGAACUCGAUAAAAAAGAAAUUCAGAUAAGUGAGCCUUCACUCAAAAAAAGAUAACAAAAUAUAAAUAAAUAAGUAUGUAUAUUGAAAAAGAAACUGGAAUGGCUAUUGCCAAAAGACAAGAAAACUAGAGACCCUUGAAACUAGACUAGAAGCAAGAAAGGAGUUGACAAGAGUGAAGAAGGCUUCACUCUUGUCUCUAUAUAUACUAUCUAACUAGGGGCUACAUGGUGACGUUCUAUAGGACGCCCAAUAUGUGUUGACUUUGUAGGAUACAUGCCUUGACUUACGAGGCAAGUUUUUCUACGUGUAGACCACAAAGUUAGCUUGAUCUUCAAGCUAACAACAUGUGUGGCACAUGGCCAACUUUUUGACCACGUUUCUAAUCCAAAAAGUCAAUUAAAGAUACCUAUGAAGUCAAAGCAAUGUCUAUGAAGCUUCUAGAAAGCUUCCAUAUUAAAUACUAAAGAAUUAACUUACUUUUCCUACUUUUACUUACUUCCACUUAUUUAUAUAUGUAAUUACUAGCUUACAUGAGUAUGUCUGUGACAUCAUCUAUUCAAUUCCUCUCAAAUUUUAUUUAAAUGUUGAAAAUUAAGUUUAAUAUCCAUACAAAAAGUUACACUUUAAUCCAAUUGACAAAUUGCUGAAGAUCUUAGAAACACUCAAUGACCCUCAAACUCCAAUAUUUGAGACCUCAACCCACAAAAAUCUUCAUAUACUUCAAUCUAAUUCUUUGAUUGAUCUCAAAAUUUGUAUACAUAUUAACAAAUAGCACACCAACAUAUUGCAUAAGUUUUAUCUAUAUACACACCAUAGAAUUCAAGAAAUCCUUAAAUUUAUAAACAUAUAUUAUUUCUCAAAUUCUAAUCCUAUCAAGAAUACCUCUAACUUUGAAAAUCCUUCAAAAUCUCAAUAUUGAUACAAAUGACAUAAAACCAAUAUUUGAUUUUUUUUCUUCAAGUCUAUCUCUCAAGUCUCAUUCUACAAUCUCCAAAAAGAACUUAGAGUAGCCAUAUAGUCACAAUUAUAUACCUUAAGAUUUGAUUUUGAUCCAAGUAGACAAUCGGUCUUCUUUUAAUAUCAUUUGAUAAUUUGAGGUAAGUUUUGCUUUAACCUAUUAUUUAUUUUUUCUUAAAUAUGUCCAUAUAAAUUUCUUAUCUCAUUUACUUUGAUUUGGCUCAUUUAUGUCUCUACAAAGUAAAUAGAAGUUCCUUCUAUAAAAAACAACAUUAAGACUAAAUCUUUUCCUACCUUUCUAUUAUUUAUCUUUAUUUUUCUACUACAUCUUUCUAUUAGAUUCUUUAAUAAUUGCAUCUAUAUUUUUAUUUUUUACUAUAUAAUCAUAUUACUAUACAAUAACAAUAGCUUGUAAGUUUUUAGCUACUUAUUCAUCAAAGAUAAAAUCAAUGCAAAUUGAUUGAGUACAUUUUGAAUUCCUUAUAAAGCAAAAAUAGACUUGACAUCAUUAAAGGAAACGGUACUUAUAUUAUGUAGAAACUAAAUAUACUGCUCAGCAUUGUUCAAAGAAGCAAUAUAAUUACAAAAUAAAGAAUACGGUUGCUAACGAAGAUAAUGUGUCAAAAAAUAAGUUUUUCUAAUUACAAUAGGGAUUGUGUGGCUAGGAUCAUGUGCAUCACUUAGUAAAGGACCUAUUGAAAUAGGACCAGUCUAUCUCAAGAGUUUAAGAUGCUUUUAAUCUACAACAACAUAAAACCUCAUCACAAAGUAGGACAAAAUGAAGCAGAACAAAAUUAUACAAAAGUAAACAGAAUAAGACAUGCAAGACAAAAUUAGACAAAUAAAAAUAAAAAAAGAACAAAAUUGAAUAGAAAGAUGUAAAAUCAAAUUUUACUACAAGAGAAGGUCCAAAGCCAUAUUUGACUAAAUACCUACAAGACCCUAAUAAGUCUUAUUUAUACUUUAUUCUAAUACCUUGGACUUUCUAAAAUGUUCUUAGAUGAUGGAUCCCAUCUUAAUAAUUGUCCUAAAUUCUUUCUAAAAGAUUCCAUCAUAGGCCUUACUUAAAUAAUCACCCUAAGCUCUUUUUAAAAUGUUCCAUAGUAGAUUCUAUAUACUGGAGUAAUUUAGCUCCAAUUCUAAAAACUUCCAUAACUUUUCAAACAUGGUUCCAACCAUCUAUUCUUAUAUGUCAACAAUACAAAUAUAUUAUCUAUAUCUUGUUACAAUUAAUCUCUAUCUACUAAUAUGGAAUAUUCUUAUUUUUCUUCCAAUAAUAUCUCCAAAUUGUCUCUUGGUAAUAGGUGAGGUUUUAUAUAGGUUUCUACAUUGCAUUGUGGAUGGAAUAACCUUUUCAAAGAACUUUGUACUAAAGUUGUAGAUGUCUACUGCCACGAAAAAGGUAGAAAUGCUCUAAAAUACUAUUUAUUUCAUAUUCUUAUUGGUCAUCAAUUAAAAUUGGUGGUUAGUGUCGAUCUAAAAAGUGCUUUGGCUCAGUAUGAAAUUCUUUUAGUUGCAAAACAAGGAAGACUAGAUAGACCUAAAUAUAUCAAAAAAGCUCGAAGCAACAUGUGACAUAAAAAAUUAUUAUAAAAAUGCAGAAAGGUCUAAGCCACUGAGAUACUAAUUUAUGGAUUUGGAUUGAUGUAGCAAGUGGCGAUUUGACAUUGGAGAAUAAUACCUGAUCACCCUCUUAGAAGGCCUUGUAUUGUUGGUAGUUAUCCAUAUACUGCUUUUGUCAAUUCUAUGCAAUAAGGUAAUAUUAUGCCUCUUGUAAGGCCACUAUAAGUUGUUAUAUAAAUUAUUCUAUUAUUGAAUUAUUGGUGUCAAUGGGACAAUAGAGAGUUGCUAGCAUAAUACGAUACUCAUUGAUAUUAAAGAAAAUUGGUGAAUGAUUGAUACUUAUUUAAAUACUAUCAUUGUAAGAAAAUUCUAAGGGUGUCAAAUAUUCAUUCCAAUCAUUAUAAUGAACUAUAAUAAAUGCUUGUACCAUAUCUUCCCAGGUUCAAUUUGCAUGCUCUGUUUAUCGAUCUGUUUAGAGAUAGAAGGUUAUAGGUAUGGCAAGUCAUGUACCUAAUACCUUGAAUAAAGCUUGCCAAAAACUUCACAUAAAAUAUGGAUCUCAAUCUAAAACAAUGACACAAGGUAAUCCAUAGUGAUAAAAGACAAUAUCAAAAAAGAUCUUUACAAGCAUUGAGGCAUUAAUAUCUAAGUUUAUCUUGGCCAAAUGAAGUUGCUUCAAGAGUUGAUCUACAAAGACGGCAACUACAAUGUGAUUAUAAGGUGUCUACAACAAACUCACAAUAAGAUCCAUAGUCACUUGCUCUCAAUGUAUUGUAGGUAGUAGAAUUGGUUGUAAUAGUCUCAAAGAUGUUGUGUUACAUGUUUUAUUAUGUUAACUUAAUUUAUAGAAGCACACAAAAGCUCAAACAUUACAAUCCAAAUCUGUCCCAAAUCAUGUCUUUGAGAUCCAUUCUAGAGUCUUUUUUCACCCUUGAUGUCUAGAUAUUGGGAUGUCAUGUCCUUCAUAAAGUAUGCAUGUCUAGUAUAGGACUGUCAGGUACAUAAAUCUGCUUCUUGAAAUAGAGCAAGCUAUCAUUAAGACUGUAAUCUUGAUAUUGUAUAUUGUCCACCUUCAGCCAAUCACAAGCCAUCUUGAAAUAAGCAUCCAAAUGCAUAGCUUUCUUCUAUUUUGUUUCUUUGGUUAGGUUUGAAAUAAUACUACUAAUGGUAGCAACUUCUACCUUGUCUCCCAAUUUGACCUUCAAAUCUGGUCUUUACAAUAAGUUUUCUAGCAUAAUAUAUUGUCGUCCUUGCUUGUAUUCAAGCUAGAUAUCAAAAACAUUGAAACUGUUCUUUUCAAUGAUAAUGUCAUAAUUUUAUAUUUUUUAGAUAUAAAUUGUGUAGCAAAGAUCGAUGGUUAAUUUGAACAACCACUCAUUUUUCUAACAAAUAGUAUCGCCACACCUUUGUGGUGUAUAUAAUUAUUAAUUAUUCUUAAUCUUAUAUAGAAUGAUUACAUUUUACUCUUCUAAGCUUGCAUGAUUCAUGUGCUAUAUGUUGAAGAUUCCAAAGUCUUGUUGAAAGAUCAUUCUAAUAGCAAAGUUAGAAGCAUCAAUGUCAAGUAUACAAAAGAGGUUGAAAUCAUACAUUUGCAAUAUUAGAGCUGUAAUUAGUAUGUCCUUCAACCUAUCAAAGGAACUUUACUAUUCCAAUUUUUAUUUAAAUGAAGUAUCUUUUUCCAAUAGGUUUGUCAAUGAAACAACAAUGUGUGCAAAUUGCUAAACAAAAUGGCGAUAAUAUCCAACAAGGCUUAAAAAUGAGCGGACUUCAGAAACAUCUUUGGAAGUUGGCAAAUCUUCUAUUGCUUUUGUCUUAUUCUACUCCAUGUACACACCUUUGAAAGACACAACAUGCCCUAAAAAGGUGACUUUUGACUUCCAAAGUUUAAAAGGAGGUACCUCGAUCAAGAGGCACGCCACUAGGCAAGACAAUUGAGAAGGCAUCUUGAUAUUAUUAUAUAAGUUGCUUUGUUCAUUCUAUUCCUUUGGCUAUCUUUUCCACCACUGAUGUAAAAUUUGAAACUACUAUAUAUACUAAUUACUUAUACUAUAUUUGUUUUUUCAUAAAUGUCAUUCCUACAAAUAAGUCUUUAUUUGCAGAUUAUUUUUUCUUUUCACUCAAUGUGGAGAUACAAAGAAUCACCUUGCGUCGACUAUCUUUGAAAGAAAUUGUCUUUGCUACCCAAUUAACUUACUUAUUUUUUACUUCUAGCUAUGACAUACCAAGGAUAACAUCAUAUCUUAGCUUUGUUUCCUUGAACCUCUCUCUUAAGAUGUAGGUAUCAGUCAACCUUAAGAUUUCUUCUUCACAUCUCUCGUUUAAUACAUUCACUUAGUCAUCUGUAAGGUAUAUACUACUUCUUCUAAUUACCUUAGUUUUAAUCCCAAGUUGGUCAAUAAUUUCAGUCGAGAUGUAAUUUUUCAUAGAGCCACAAUCCACAAGUACUCAACAUGGCUUUCUUCUUAGCAAUCUUAUUAGAUGCACUAGUUGAUUCUUUUUAUAAUUGUAUGAGGCCAUGCCAUUUGUCUUUAAAAGAUAGUAGCUUUCCUAGUAUUAGCCCCCAAUGUCUCUAUUAGAGAGCCUUUUUUCUUCCUUCUAUUUUAUUAUUGACUUGGUAAGUCUUGAGACUAUAAAUCCACCUUAUUUUUUUGGUGCUUGAAUUUUUGACAUUUUGAAUAACCUUCAAUCUGAUGGCCUAGAUCUCAAUAUUAGAAAUAAAAUCUCUUUUGCACUAAUAUUUUUUUGUCUUUAUGGUGUCAAUGAUUCUUGUAGGACAUCAAUCUCCAUUGAUGUUGGUUACUAUGCCAUAGUAUUAGAUAGCGGCAUAGAUCUUUGUGUUAUAGGUUGAAUUCUAUAAUUUUUGAAAUCUAUAGCUUACACUUUUGCUAUAAUCCAAAUUGCCUCUUCAAAUGUUUGUGAAUCUUUUAGUUCCACCUUUCUUUGGACCACAAAUUUUAAACCUCAUAGAAAUUGAUCUAUCAUCUCUGCCUCUAAAACUUUACCAAUUUGGAAACAUAGAGACUUAAAUCAGGAUACAUAAUCUUACAUUGAUCUAGAUUGUCUAAAAUUUGCCAAUUGAUCACAUUAUAUAUUUUUGGCAUUGAUGGGCCAAAAUUGAUUCCUAAAUUCUAUCUCAAAUUCCUUUCAAUUACAAAAUCCACCUUGAGUUCCAUAGCUUUAAAGUCAAUGUUGCUACCAAAUGGCUACUACAUCUUUCAAAUAGCUCGCUACAAAUAUAAUUCCUUUAGAGAUAUUUACCUCAAAUAGUUGGAAGUAUUGUUACAUAUUAAAGACGCAUUGAUAUAUAUCUUUUUGUCUAAAAGUCCUAAAAUACGUACUAUAAUUAUUCAAUUUUAGCCUAGCAAAUGUCAACUCUCUUGUCCUAAAGGCUUCUAUUUGUCCUUGUAAAAUAGCUAUUUGUCCUAAGAGAUGCUAUAUUUGAAUCUCUACCUAAAAUUACUCUGCUAUAUCUUCUAUGUUGUAAUUUCCUAGUAGGCUCUACUAUUGUAAUGCCUUCUUACCUUCCAAUUGACUUUUUAAGAGUAGUUUAUGGUAGCUCCAAGAUAAUAACUAGUGUGAUUACAAUAAUUGAUCUCAAAUUAGAUGAUGAUUAUUUGUUAGGGACAUAUUCCUUAGAACUUUCUAGAGAGAAGUUUCUAAAACCUUCUAGAAAACAAGCCUCUGGAACCUUCUAGAAGAGAAGCCUCUGGAACCUUUUAGAAAGAAGUUUCUAGAAGCUUCUAGAAAGGAAGUCUCUGGAACCUUCUAGAAGAGAAGUUUCUAGAAGCUUCUAGAAAGGAAUCCCUUGGAACUUUCUAAAAGCUUCCUAGUUAAUAGAAGUAGCUCGAGAAGUUUCUAGAACCUUCUAAAAAGGAAGCCUUUGGAACCUUCUAGAAGCUUCCUAGUUAAUAGAAGUAGCUCGAGAAGCUUCCUAAGUAGGAGUAUAUAUAGGGAUCGAGGCUGAAGAGUUCUUCAGUCUCGACAACACAUCUCUUGGAGUUCUAGCUCACCUUUCUGGUGUGGUUCUUGUACUCAUCUGUUUAAUCUAGUUCUGCCACUUCUUCUUGAACUUCUUGUUAGAUUUCAAGUCUGUAUUUUGUGUCCAUGACAGUUUGUUGAGACUACACUAACUUGAGAUAUCAGAGCUAGUUCUUUCUUAAUAGAGUGUGGAUUACCCCUCUACUUGAAGGUAUACUAGCAUUUUUUAGAGGUUGCGGAUUACCCUCCUCUGAACUGAUACUUCUUCUGUUACAAUAUUGGAGUCUUAUUCUUCUUGGAGAGAGUGGAUUACCCCUCUUCUUGAAAUUCUUAAGGCGUUUUAUAGGUUGUGGAUUACCCUCCUAUAAACCAAUAUUGCCUCUUAUAGGGUCAUUUUUGUCUUUCUUUUAGAAUGGCCGGAGGUCAAGACAUUAGUAUGACAGAAAGUUUGGAGUCUAAGUUAGAUGCUAUUAUGAAUGCCCUCGCUACGUUAUCACAAAGAAUUGCAGAGAUUGAAGGAGUGGUGGCAAGGCUUCAUAAUGAUGGAGUAUCUGGGAUAGCACAAUCUAAACUACACCAGCCUCAAAUUUCGGCACUUGGAGAAACAACUUUACCUCAGGUUCGACAAGAACCACUAGUUCUACAACGUAAGGAGCCUCGAGUUAGCCUUCCAGAUAAGUUUGAUCGAAUAUGUUCCAAGUUUCGAGGAUUCGUCAAUCAAAUCAGGUUGAUAACAGUUUUAUAGCCCGAACGAUAUCCAACGGAGGAGUCAUGUGUUGGGCUUGUUGGAACCUUACUUACGGGACAAGCUCUAUCAUGGUUUGCUCCUUUGUUUGAAAAAAUGAUCAUCCAUAUUAAACAACUUCAAAACCUUUUUGGAAGCAUUUGCAGAAGCAUUUGGUGAACACGAUAAGGUUCGAUGGGCUACAACAAAGAUCCGGUCGCUACGACAAGGGAUGCGUUCUAUAUCAGUCUAUGCUUCGGAUUUCAGGCAAUUAGUAUGCGACAUCAAUUGGGAUGAAGAAGCGUUGAUGAGUCAAUUCUAUUGGGAUUUAAGAGAUGAUGUGAAGGAUUUGCUGUUAACUCUUCCUGAUCCACGAACGCUCAAUGAAGCCAUUAGCCAAGCUGUGAAGUGCGAUAAUCGCCUAUUCCAACGUCGCCAAGACCAACGCUCAAGACAACAUACAAUUUGCCAUGCUCCAACUAUGUCGGCAAGCAGUGUGAAUUCGCAUUCAGAGGUGGAAGACAUGCAAAUUGAUGUGGUACGUAUCAAAUCUCUUACUAUAGAAGAAAAAAAGUGACGUAUGGAGGAAAAUUUAUGCUUGUAUUGCGGUGGAGAAGGCCACAAAGUCGGAAACUGCCCUAAAAAGCAAAAUCGAGGCAUAGUCAAGACUAGGGGAGUAUUUGUUUAAGAAAACGAGGAUGCCCAGCCACAGUAGGAACCGUGCGGCUGGACAAUGAAAUAUCCCAACAACAAUCAGGUUCCUUUCUUUCUGCCCAACUUGCCCUUUGUUUUACAAUCCCUCUGUUUAUUGGCCCUCAAAAACUGAGAACUUUAGCACUACUAGACUCAGGAGCAUCUGCUUGUUUUUUAGACCAAGAAUUUGCAAAGCGUCAUAAGAUCCCUUUAGUACAAAAAUCAAAACCUGUUCAUGUUGAGGUCAUAGAUGGGCGACCUUUAUUGUUUGGUAGCAUCACCCAUGAAUCAAAACCUAUAGAAAUAACGUUUAAAGACCAUAGUAGUCAUAUUAUUUUUAAUUUUAUUAGAACCCCAUCAAAUCCUAUUAUUCUUGGUCUUUCUUGGUUGGAAAAACAUAAUCCAUUGAUAGAUUGGAGGUUGCGGAAGAUGACUUUUCUCACAAAACCACCCAAGAAAAAACCUAGUAAAAAACCUCAAAAAAAGAAAUCCUUAUUCAUUGGAGCAAGAGCGUUUAUAAGAUCAUCUAAGGGAGGCACUCCAUUUGUCAUUUAUGCGGCUCCAACUACCGAGGAGAAGAUCUCAACAGCAAGUAUACCGGAGCAAUAUAAGGAUUUUGAAGACGUGUUUCAAAAGAAGAACGCCAACAUACUACUGGAACACCGACCAUAUGAUUGUGCCAUAGACUUGCAAGAAGGAGCACAACCAUCUUUUGGCCCAAUCUACAAUCUAUCGCAAACAGAGUUGGCAGAGUUGCGAAAGUACAUCGAUGAGAAUCUAGCCAAGAACUUCAUUUGUCAUUCAAAAUCAUCAGCUGGAGCACCCAUCUUAUUUGUGAAGAAGAAAGAUGGAUCAUUACGGAUGUGUGUGGACUAUCGAGGCCUCAACAAGGUAACAAAGAAAAAUCGUUACCCAUUACCCUUGAUUUCUAGUCUCUUAGAACAACUUGGAUGUGCAAAGAUCUUUACAAAAAUAGAUCUAAGGGGAGCUUAUAAUCUCGUACGAAUCAAGGAAGGAGAUGAGUGGAAGACAGCAUUCCGUACAAGGUAUGGUCAUUUCGAAUAUAAUGUCAUGCCUUUUGGUCUUACCAAUGCUCCAGCGGUUUUCCAACAUAUGAUGAAUGACAUCUUUCGAGAAUACCUCGACGAUUUUGUUGUCAUCUACUUGGACGAUAUUCUAAUAUUCUCUAAAAUCGAGGAAGAGCAUGAGGAGCAUGUUCGUUUGGUCUUGGAGAAACUACGCAAGCGAGGACUAUAUGCCAAAUUAGAAAAGUGUUUAUUUCACCAGACGGAGAUGGAAUUUUUGGGGUUCAUUGCGACUACAAAAGGUUUGAAGAUGGACCCUAAGAAAGUAGAAGCAAUCAUGUCUUGGGAGGUUCCGAAGGCGGUUAGAGACGUACAAUGCUUUCUUGGUUUUGCUAACUUCUAUCGGAUCUUCAUCAAGAAUUAUUCUCAAGUUGCUACUCCUCUCACUCGAUUAACAUGCAAGGAUAAGUUGGAAUGGGGACCUUUGGCGGAGAAGGCGUUUCAAGAUUUGAAGACAGCAUUUACUACAGCUCCAAUUUUGGUACAUCCAGACUUUACAAAGGCCUUCUAUUUAGAAACUGAUGCUUCAGAUUUUGCUUUGGGAGUUGUGCUUUUAGAAAUGAGUGAAGAUAAGAAGCUCCAUCCAGUUGCAUUCUAUUCUCGGAAGUUCUCUGCUGCUGAAAUCAAUUAUGAGAUCCACGAUAAGGAACUUCUUGCUAUAGUGGAUUCUUUUGAAGAAUGGCGUCACUUUCUUGAAGGAACUGCACAUCCAGUAACCGUAUAUACGGAUCAGAAAAAUUUGGAGUAUUUCAUCACGGCUCGAGUAUUAAAUCGGCGUCAAGCUCGGUGGAAUAUGUCGCUAUCUAGAUUCGAUUUUGUUAUCACUUAUCGACUUGGAAGACAGCAAGGACUAUCCGAUGCUUUAUCAAGGAGAUCGUAUCUUGCACCAAAGGCUGGAGAAGCAGCGUUUGAUCAACAAUGUACAACGUUAUUGAAGCCAGAGAGAUUUCAACUUUGUGCUACUAUUGUAUCAUUUGAUGCUGACUUCCUAAACCAGGUACAUGCUAUGACUAUUAAAGAUUCAGUAGCCAUUGAUAUCAAGCAACGUACCAAUGACGACAAGUUCAAGGUGGAGGGAGAUCUUUUAUACUUUGAAGAGCGAUUGUACAUUCCAAAAGGACUAGCACGACUCCGAGUUCUUCAAUCUCGCCAUGAUUUUCCAGCUGCGGGAUAUUUUGGAUUCAACAAGACCUUGGAGCUUAUUUCCCGAGAUUUUUGGUGGCCCCAAAUGUAGAAGGAUGUGAAAGAUUUUGUCCUCUCUUGUGACAUCUGUUCAAGAUCUAAGAAUCCUCGGCAUCACCCUUAUGGACUUCUACAGCCAUUGCCAAUUCCACGUCGACCAUGGUCUUCAAUUUCUAUGGACUUCAUCACGGACUUGCCAUCAUCAAACUCAUUUGACAGCAUCUUUGUCGUGGUAGAUCGGCUUACGAAGAUGACAGACUUUGUUCCUUGUAAGAAGACAUUGUCCAGUGAAGUCACAGCAAGACUCUUUCUCGAUAAUGUGUAUCGAUAUCAUGGACUACCAGAUGAUAUCAUAUCAGAUCGAAGUACCCAGUUCAUGUCAAAGUUUUGGAGAUCUCUCUUUGGAAUAUUGAAGGUAGAUAUCAAGCUUUCUUCAGCUUUUCAUCCUCAAACUGAUGGCCAAACGGAACGGGUGAACCAAGUCUUGGAGCAGUACUUACGAUGCAGCAUCAACUAUCAGCAAGACGGUUGGACUGCAUAUCUACCGCUAGCCGAGUUUGCAUAUAACAACACCCUCCAUGCGUGGACUCAACAAACACCAUUCUUUUCCAACUAUGGAUAUGAUCCGAAGCUUGAUUUAUUGAGUCCGUCAACAAAUAACAAUCCAGCAGCUGAAGGAUUUGCGAAGCAACUAUCAGAGCUUCAAACUAUAUUGAAGCUUCAAUUACAAUCCACUCAAAAAUCCUAUAAGACGUCUGCAGAUAGAUUUUGGAAUCCAGCACCUACUUUCAAAGUUGGAGACAAAGCCUGGUUUCUUCGACGAAAUAUCAAGACCAAGCGACCAUGUGAUAAGUUGGACUAUCGAAGAUUGGGACCAUUUAUCAUCCAGAAGCAAAUUAAUCCAGUGGCAUACCGGCUAAAGUUACUGGCUUCUAUGAAGGUACAUCCAGUCUUUCAUGUUUCUCUGUUGGAACCUUAUCGAGAGUCAUCUUUUCCUGGAAGAGUGUAAUGUCCGCCACCUAGUAUUAAAAUCGAGAACCACGAAGAAUACGAGGUUGAAAAGGUAUUGGAUUCACGGCGAAGGUGGGAAAAGUUAGAAUAUCUUGUUCAUUGGUGUGGCUAUGACAUUAAUGAGCGAAUAUGGGAGCCAGCUGAAAAUCUUGCGAAUGCGCCACAAAAGGUACAGGAGUUUCAUCAACGACAUCCCGAUAAACCUAAAUCAAUUCGAUGAUAGCUUCUUUUUGAAGCUUGUUCUCCCAACAAUAUAAGAAAAGGAGAGAGCACAAGCAAAAUUCAUAAUUGAUGUAGUUAUUUUCUCCAAGAUAGAUCGUAGUUUGGUCUUUUGAUAUGGAUAGCCAAGAGAUAGAUACUAUGCCAGUCAGAGUAUCGCAACUGAGUAGCUCACGAAGGCGACCCCGAGAUGAAGAACUACAUGUACCACGACGACGACGGAGGAUACCGAGUAACCGAUCACUGGUGAUCGUAUUUGAGAUCGAGCCUGCUUACGAUGGUCAACCAAAAGGCGUGUUUGCAGGACAAUUUCACAAUGAGGACACGGAAGUUCAUGCUUAGUCAGAAGUCGAAGGCGUGGGCCACUACCAUUGGCUUCAAGGAUUGAUGAACCACUUGUCUUGUGAACAACAAUUGGAGUUCAUAGUAGAAGUUGUGCGACAGAUCUUCAUUUUCUUGCGUUGGUACUGAUCAACAACAUUGCUUCUCAGAGACCUCGAAGCUAAAAGAGGGGGUGAUGUUAGGGACAUAUUCCUUAGAACUUUCUAGAGAGAAGUUUCUAGAACCUUCUAGAAAACAAGCCUCUGGAACCUUCUAGAAGAGAAGCCUCUGGAACCUUUUAGAAAGAAGUUUCUAGAAGCUUCUAGAAAGGAAGUCUCUGGAACCUUCUAGAAGAGAAGUUUCUAGAAGCUUCUAGAAAGGAAUCCCCUGGAACUUUCUAAAAGCUUCCUAGUUAAUAGAAGUAGCUCGAGAAGUUUCUAGAACCUUCUAGAAAGGAAGCCUCUGGAACCUUCUAGAAGCUUCCUAGUUAAUAGAAGUAGCUCGAGAAGCUUCCUAAGUAGGAGUAUAUAUAGGGAUCGAGGCUGAAGAGUUCUUUAGUCUCGACAACACAUCUCUUGGAGUUCUAGCUCACCUUUCUGGUGUGGUUCUUGUACUCAUCUGUUUAAUCUAGUUCUGCCACUUCUUCUUGAACUUCUUGUUAGAUUUCAAGUCUGUAUUUUGUGUCCGUGACAUUAUUGUCACACUACCAAAGAAUAGUUUGACACUCGUUUUGAUACCAAUGAAACAAAACAAGUCUAUCUCAAGAGUUUAAGACUUUUUUAAUCCACAACAAUAUAAAAACUCAUCAUGAAGUAGAACAAAGCUAAAUAGAAGUAAAUAAAAUAAGAUACAAAAGAUAAAAUUAGGCAAACAAAAAUAGAACAGAACAAAAUUGAACAAAAAAAUGCAAAAUCAAAAUUUACUAAGAUAGAAGAUCUGAAGCCAUAUUAGAUGCCUAAAAGGCCUUGGUUAGUCGUAUUUAUUCUUUAUUUUACUACCUUGGAUUUUCUAAAAUGUUUCUAGGUGAUGAAUCCUUCUUAGAUAAUUGCUCUAAGCCUUUUCUAGAAGGUUCCAUGAUAAGCCUUUUGAGUCAUCAAAUUGACUCACUAGUUAUUUUAGAAUAAAAAGAUUCUUUUACAAUGCUUAAAACCACAAUAUAUGGUGAAUAGUAUAGAAAUCUUUAGAAAAAUAGAAAACUAGAAAGUCAAUUGUAGAAUCGGAGUCUUAGUAAGUCUUGGAGGUAAUUAUUUUAGUUAGUUUAAUAUUUUUUUAUUUAUUAUUGGAUAUUAAGGGAUAUUUAUUAAGAUCAAUAUUUAUAUUGACCUUCUAUUUAUAUAUGUUACUUAUAAGAAAAACUAUAAAUUUUAAUUAGUAGUUAGAAGAAGCAUGAAAAAGAACCUCAUGUCUUUUUAAUUAGUUAUAUAGAAAGUAGGAUUUAUAUUAGAUUUAAAUUGAUUUUAUUACUAUAAAAAUUUAUAAAGGUAAAAAAUUAUAGCUUAAAUUUUAUUUUAAUAGUAUAAAAAUUUCAUACGAAUUUUUAAAAUUUAUUUAGAAAUUUUUAGGAAUUUUUAGAGUAAUUUCUAAGACUUUGAUAAAAAUGAGUUUCAUCACUUCGGGAGCCAUUAUAUGAAAAAUGGAGCAAGAUUUGAAGGCCCGUAAGGUUCCUAAGCUAAUUGAGUUUUCUUAAAUACCAAGAUGAAGUCAAAAAUACAAAAUUAUUGGUUUUACUAGUUGAAAAUAGGAGGACCAGCAGCUAGUGUAGUCCUUGUAAGAAAGAAGGUGCACAAGUUCCAUGUAGUUUUUAGCACCUUGAAGGUAGUUAGGAAGAUAAGACUAAGGCCUCAUGGCCUCUCUUAGAGAUCCAUAUAUACUACAUGUAAGCCUUAGUGAGGCUCAAAUUCUUGAUCUCUUAAAUAAGUUAUCUUUGAGGUAAAAAUUAUUUAUUUAAUUUUUUAUUUAUUUACUUGUUAUUUUUAAACCUUCAUAACUUAUUCAUAAUAAUUCGUAUUUUUAUGUUUUUUAUAUCAUUGAAAAGAUAAAAAAACUAAAUUUCUAAUUUUUUUUACUUUUAUUUUUUAUUUUUUAUUGGAUAAAAAUUCAAUGAAUGGAUUAUAACUAGUUUUAUGGUAUACAAUUGCUUGAUUGCACUUGUUUCAUGUAUUUUUGUAUUUUGCUUCUUUUUUUCUUGUUCUUGCUACUUUUACUUUAUACUACUAAUUAAAAUUAAUUCUUAAUUGAUGCCAUUUUAUAAUUGACAUUAAAGAGUGAAUUUUACACUUAUAGGCCCUACUUAGAUAAUUACUCUAAGCCCUUCUAAAAGGUUCCAUGGUGGAUUCUAUCUAGAUAUCCAUCUUAGGCUCUUUCUAGAAUGUUUUACAAUAGAUCUUAUAUAGUCCACUAAUUUAGCUCUAAUUCUAGAAACUUCCAUAACUUAUCAAACGUGAUUUCAACUAUCUAUCUUCAUGUAUCAACAAUACAAAUAUCUUAUCUAUACUCUGUUAUAUUUCUUCUCUCUUCAGAUCUUUCACCUUGUUUUAUAAUAGAUGUACGUUUAGGAUCUAAAAAUCAUAAAGUCUUUAUAUUAUUAAAUUUAGAAGUCUUAAUUUAUUUUAUAAACAAAGACUUCAUUAAAAAAAUAUAUAUCUUUAGUUAAGAAAACUAAAUUUGUAUAAAUAGAAGUCAUUGAUACUCAUUUAUUAUCUUUUAAAAAUAUUAUUCAUAAAACUAUUCUUUUAGAUGUAGUAAUUAAAAAUUAUAAUAGUAUAAUAAUAUUUAAUGUAAUAAGUUCUUUCUCUAAAUUUGGAUAUUUUAGGAUUAUCAUGGUUAAAAAAAUAUAAUCUUCAAAUGAACUAGAUUUCUCAUAAUAUUAAUUUUUUUAUAGUUUAAACCAAAAUAUAUUAGUUAAAUAAAAAUAUAUAAGUUUAAUACAUCUAAAUUCUUAUAGAUUAGUAUGAGAGUUUUCAUGCAUAUGGCUUAAGAAGGAUUAUCUUUUGUUAUAUAUAUACAAUACUUAAUUUUGAUGGUAGAAAGAUGACAAGUGAUAUUCCAAGCUAACAAUAAUAUUUUCUAGACGUUUUUGAAAAGACAAAUAUAAAUCUUUUUUUCAAAACAUUGAUCUUAUGAUUAUUCAAUUGGUCUUUAAAAAAGAGCUCAACCACCAUGUGGACUAAUUUAUAGCUUAUUACAAAAUGAAUUGGCUGAAUUAAAGAUAUAUAUUGAUAAGAACUUGGUUAAGAAUUUUAUUUGCUAAUCUAAAUCUUCAACAAGAGCUCCUAUCAUAUUUGUGAAGAAAAAAGAUAGAUCAUGUCAAAUGUAUGUAGAUUAUUGAGGACUUAAGGAAAUUAUCAUCAAGAAUAUAUAUCCUUUACACUUGAUUUUAAGACUUUUUGAUCAAUUUAAUUAAGCAAAGAUCUAUACAAAAAUAGAUCUAUAAAGAUCAUAUAACUUGGUUCGUAUCAAAAAAAGAGAUGAAUAAAAGGUUGUUUUUGAAACUAGGUAUGGAUAUUUUGAAUAUAAUGUCAUUUUUUUUACACUCACAAAUGUACUAAUCACUUUUUAACAUCCUAUGAAUGAUAUUUUUUGAUAGUUUCUUAAUAAUUUCAUUUUUUGUUAUUUAAAUGAUAUUUUAAUCUAUUCUAAGAAUAUAAAAAAUAUGAACUUCAUAUUUGUUGUAUAUAACUAAAACUUAAAGAUGUAGGAUUAUAUGUCAAGAUAGAAAAGUAUAUUCUAUACUACUUAAGUUGAUUUUUUAAAAUACAUUAUUUCCAACAUAGACUUUAUGAUGGAUUUUAAGAAGAUUCAAACUAUUAUGAAUUGAAAGAUUUCAAAAUAAUAAAAAAAUGUGUAAUAUUUUUGAAAUUUUCUAAUUAUAACCAAAUCUUCAUCAAGAAUUUUUUUCAAGUUGAAGCUUUUCUUAUAUAUUUCACUUCUAAAGACAAAUUUGAAUGGAAUAAAAAAAAAAAAAAAAAAAAAAAACGUCUUUUCAGGUCUUGAAGAAAACAUUUAUUUCUAUAUCAAUCUCUUAUCGCAUUGACUUUUUCAAGGAAUUUUUCAUAAAAAAAAAUACAUUAGACUUUGCUAUAGAUAUGAUUUUGCCAUAAAUGGUAGAAAAUGACAAGCUCAAUAUGAUAAAUUUCUAUUCCAAGAAAAUUUUAGCAAGCAAGAUUAACUCUAAGAUCCACAAUAAACAGCUUUUUGUAAUCAAUGAUUUAUUUCAAGAGUAGCAUUAUUAUUUAGAAGAUACUUCUAGUUCAAUCACCUUAUAUAUGGAUCAUAAGAACCUCAAAUACUUCAUAUUAGCACGUAUUUUGAAUCAUCACCAAACUUAUUUGAGUAUAUUUGUGAGUGUAAAUUUCAUUCCUUAAUCCUAAUUACAAGAUGGCCUCAAUUAAAAGUUUCUUGUAAUUGGUGGUGUGAAGUGAAGUAUGCAAUUGGCAAAAAAUUCAAAAAAAAUAACCAGAAUAUAAGUGGAAAAAAUGAAAUUAAGUAAUUACAACAUCCAAAAUAAUUUGUUCAAUAUAUUUUCAUCUAAUAAAAAAUAAAAUAAAAAAGUAAAAAGAAUAUUUUAAGAUAGGUAAUUUUAUUAUCUUUUCAAUGACAUAAGAAACAUUUAAAUUCAAAUUACUAUGAGUAAUUUAUGAAGUUUUAAAAAUAGAAAGUAAAUAAUUAAAAAGUGAAGUGAAAAUAUUUUACCUCAAGGAUAACUUGCUUAUAGAUCAAGGAUUUGAGCCUCACUAAGGCUCACAUGUAGUGUAUAAGGGUGUUCAUGGAGGCCAAGAGGCCUUAGUCUUAUCUUCCUAUCUAUAUCCAAGGUACUACAAUCCAUAUGGGCCUUGUACACCUCUCUUCCUACAAGGACUAAACUAGCUGCUGAUCCUCCUAUUUUCUACUAGUAAAUCUUAUUUUUUUACAUUUUCAACUUCAUCAUGGUGUUUAAAAAUAUCCUAUUAGCUUGUGAACCUUGUAAGGCCUUCAAACCUUGCUCCAUUUCUUCAUAAUGGCUCUCAAAGUGGUAAAACAUAUUUUUAUCAAAGUCUUGGAAAUUGCUCUAAAAAUUCCUAAAAAGUUCUAAAUAAAUUCUAAAUAAAUUCUAAAAAUUUAUAUAAUAUUUUUAUAUUAUUAAAAUAAAUUUUAAGCUAUAAUUUCUUACCUUUUAAUUUUUUAUAGUAAUAAAAUCAAUUUAAAUCUACUAUAAAUCCUACUUUCUAUAUAACUAACUAAAAAGACAUGAGUUUCCCUCUUAUGCUUCUUUUUACUACUAACUAACAUUUAUAAUUUUUUUUUAAGUAAUAAAUUUAGAUAAAAGAUCAAUAUAGAUAUUGGUCUUGAUAACUAAUACUCUCUACUCAACAAUAAAUAAAAAUCCUAAACCAACUAAAAUAAUUACCUCGAAGACUUACUAAGAAUCCAUUUCUUCUCUACUAAUAUUAUUCUUCUUCAUUUAACAUCCUCUAAGUACAUCUUCAUCUAAAAAUUGUUAUUUUGUCACUUUACAUCCAUUCUUUUGUCCUAAAACAACUAGUGAGUUAAUUUGAUGACUCACAAUGUUUUUAUAAAGAUUUGCUUUAAAGAUCACUUAUCAAUCCAAAAAAUAAAAAAUUUUGUUAAAUAUCUUUUUUAGAAAUAAUAAAAAAAUUGUGCUAAAAAAAAAAUGCAACUUUUAAUCAAUAAAGAAUGAUUUUCUUAAAACUAGAGUAUUUUCAUAUUUGAACAAUAAAAUCAACAUUGAUUGUUGAUUCAAAAAUGAUUUUCUUAAAACUAAAGUAUUAUCAUCUUUGAAUAAUAAAAUCAACAUUGGUUGUUGAUUCGGCCUUUUUCAAGUAAAUUCAAUGAAGUAUGUUUUUUAAUCAUCUUAUUUAUGAUAUUAAAAAUAAUUCUUUUAAGUCUCAUGAUAUUUUUAAGUUUGAAUUUAAGAAUAAUCUACUCUAUUUUGAGUGACAAUUAUAUAUUUCAAAAGGCAAAGCAGAAUUAUAUAUUUUUUAAGCUUCUUGUGACUUUAUAAUAAGUAGAAAUUUUGGAUAUAAUAAGACUUUAGAGCUAAUAUUUAGUGAUUUUUGAUAGAUUCAAAUAUAGAUAAUAAUUAAAGACUUUGUACAAUCAUAUGACCAUUCUUAUGGAUUUCUUCAGUAUUAUCUAUUCUAGAACAAUCAUAGUCUUUAAUUUCUAUGGAUUUUAUCAUAGAUCUUAUAGUCUCAAGUUCAUAUGAUUCUAUAUUUAUGAUAGUAGAUUAUUUUAUUAAAAUGGCAUAUUUUUCAUAUGUAUAAAAUCUAUUAUAGAUAAAAAAAAAUAGCAAAGUUUUUCCUUCACAACAUCUAUUGCAUAUCAUAGAUUGUCCAAGGAUAUUGAAUUAAAUAAAAGAUUCAAUUCACAUUAAGAUUUUAGAUAAUCCUUUUUAAGAUUUUAAAAGUAGACAUAAAGCUAUCUUUGAUCUUUUAUCUAUAAAUUUAUUGACAAACAAAGUACAUAAAUUAAGUUUUAGAAUAAUAUUUAAAGUAUACUAUCAAUUACUAAUACGAUGAUUAGAUAACUCAUUUGCCAUUGGCAAAAAUUGCUUAUAAUAAUAUGGUACAUUCUUCUAUGGAAUAAAUACCUUUUUUUUCUUAAUUAUAAUUAUCAUCCAUGACUUGAUACUUUUGACUUCUCAAAAGUUGAUAAUUUUAUAGUGGAAGAUUUAGCAAAUCAUUUAUUAAAGAUACAUAUAGUAAUGAAGGCAUAAUUAAAAGAAGUUCAAGAAUGUUAAAAGACCAACAUGCAUGUCUAUUGCAAGGAGCAAUUUCAAUUCCAUAUUGGCGACAAUAUAUGGUUAUUUUGUCAUAAUAUCAAGAUUAGCCAUCUUUAUAACAAGUUGGAUUAUUGUAGACUUCGACCAUUUCUUAUUCAUGAAUAAGUCAAUAGUGUUGUUAAUUGAUUACAUCUAUUAGAGUCUAUGAAGAUCUAUCUUAUAUUCUAUAUGUCUCUUUUUAAGCUAUAUAAGAUAGUAAAUAUGUUUGAAAGAAGACAAAUGUCACAUCUUCUUAUAGAAGUAAAUAAUAAUCAAAAAUUAAAAGUUGAAGAAGUUUUAGAUUCAAGGCAGUGCCAAAAUAGGUUGAAAUAUCUUGUUUAUAAGUACGGAUAUAAUAUUAGUAAAUACACAUGAGAACCAUCAAAGAAUCUUAAAAAUCUUAUAAAGAAGGUUGAAGCUUUUUAUUAAUGACAUCCAUCAAAAUCAAGAUGAAGAAUAAUAAAUCUUUAUUAUAAAAGAAAUAAAACAUAAGAAAGAUAGUAUUCUACUUUUUAUCUUUGUUUGUAGUUUCUAUGUAUUUAUAAUGCUAAAGAGAUGAAAAAUCAAUUAGGAGAUUUAACUCAAGAAUUAUUGUUUGCUAAUUUAUUGGACGAAAUAUUAUAAUUUUUACAACCUUCAAGACAAUAUAAUCAAGAUCAAAAUCCUCAAAAAUGACAUUCUUUUUUAAAUAGAUAGUGAGAUAUAAUGUAUUUGAUAUCAUGACCUUAGAAGCUAGACUUCAACCAAUAAGCAAUUAAUAAAAAUAUAAAAAUUGAGUAAGAUUGAACAUAUCAAUUACAAAAAAAACUCCCAAUCGUUGGCUAUCUUUCUUCUUUAAUUAGAAUAUUAAACUUUCAAUAUCAAUUUUUUUUUGAAUUAUUUAAUCGCUAUAAAAUUGGAUUAUUUGUAAAUAUUUAAGUUUUAAUUUUUCUUACCAAUUUUUGCUUCAACUUAACUAGCAAAUAUUCUUAAAUCUUGAAAUCACUCAUUGAUCUUAAAUCUCAAAUUUUGGAGACCAUAACCUAUAAAGACCUUUAUAUGCUUCAAUCUAAUUGCUUAAUUGAUUUCAAGUUUUUUUCACACAUUCAAAACAAAGACAACAAAAAAUUACGAAAAUUUCACCUAUAAACAUACUAUGAAACUUACAAAAUCUUGAAAUUUAUAAGCUUGUUUUAUUUCUCAAAAUCUAAAUCCACCAAGCAUAUUACUAAUUUUAAAAAUCUCUCAAAAUCUAAAUAUUAAUCCAAAUGAUAUUAAACCAAUAUUCAAAAAUAUUUUCUUAAGUUUUCUUUCAAAUCUUAUUUUCAUAUUCACAAAAGAACCUUGGAGUUACCAUAGGUGCUUGAUUUUGUAUCUCAAGGUUUGAUUUUAAUCCUCGUUGAUGACCGGUCUUCUCGAAGUAUCAAUUCUUGACUUUUUAAGCUAAAUUUUGCUAAAAUCAACUUCUAACUCUAUCCUACAUAUGUAAAUAUUUUAUUUUUAAUUAACUUUGUUUUAUCUUAUUUAUGAUUCUAUAAAGUAAAUCCAUUAUCAUAAAAAAAUAUUAAUAUUAAUAGAUUUUACUACUUGUAUAUUUUUUAUUUAUAUUUUUAUUAUAUAUUUUUAAUUGAAUUCUUUUAUAAUAAAAUAUUUUCUUUCUUCUUUUACCUAAUGGCUAUAUUAUUAUACGUGAUUGCCUUAGUAUGAGAUACUAUUGAUGGCUAAGAGGACCUAUCAACCAUGUUCAAAGAAAAAAAAGUUCAAAAUAUGUGGCAAAUAUAUUUUGCCCCAUUUUGGAUUUUUUCAAUAUAUGAUGACUACUCCUGAUGAAACUUAUUCCUAGAAGAGAGAAUAAUAUCACAUAUAUAUAUAUAUAUAUAUAUAUAUAUAUAUAUAUUCCAAUAAUUAUUUAUGUAAUUAGAUAAAAAUAAAUAAAAUUUAUAAUAUCUUAUAAAAAAGCUUCGUAGAAACUUUAUAGAUACAACUUAGACUUAACAUGUAUUUUUUGAUUAGAAAUUUAGACAAAAAAUUAGUCACGUAUCAUAUAUAUUAAUAAUUAUAUGACAUACAUAUAAUAAAAUUACCUUGAAAUUUAAGAUAUAUGUCUUAUAAUUUGGAUAUGUAUCGGAGGUUCUAUAGAAUAUUGUCAUAUAGCUCAUAGUUUGAUAAUAUAUAUAGAGGCAAGAAUAAAGCCUUCUUCACUCUUUUCAAUGUCUUUUUUAUUUUUAAUAAAGUUUUAAAGGUUUAUAUUCUUCUUAUCUUUGAUAAUAGUCAUUUUAAUAUUAAUAAUAUAUUAUUUUUAGAAUAAAAUUUUAUUUUUCUUGAAUUACAUAAGAAUAUUUUAAGGUUCAACUUGUUUUGAUUUAUGUCCUAGAUACUUAUUGGAUAAGACAUUGCAAUUAUCACAGCCUUUAAGAUGGCAUAAUAGAAAAAAAGUCCUUCAAGAAUGAUAUGUUUUUUAGCAAAUAGAUGGGAAGAUAUAAUGCAUUUAGCAUCACAACUUUAGAAGAGACUUCUAAUAUUUAGUAAUUUUAUUAAAGGUAGGAAUGGCUCUAGAUGAUAUUACAAAUGUUUUAUUUGAAAAAAGUUACAAAGACUUUAAUAAUGAUCAAAUAACAAGAUGGUCUUUUUGCCUUAUAAUGGGAUAUCAUCAAUAGAUGCAAGAACUUAUUAACUAUCUUCAAAGGAAAUAAAUAUUAGAGUAUGUAACAAAUAUAAUUUGUUGUAUCUUAAACUUUAUCAAUAUAUGAUCAUUGUUCCUAAAAAUGGGAGUAAAACUACAAAUAUAUAUAUUUAUGCCAAUACUUAUUUAUAUAAUAUAAGUAGGUAGAAAUAGAUAAAAAUAGAUAAAUUUAAUAAUAUCUUACAGAAAAACUUUUUAGAAGCUACACAAACAUAAUUUCAUCUUUUAUAUAUCUAAAAGUGAUUGAUAGGUUGAAUAUUUGGCUAAUAAGUUAACUAUAUGUCUUACAUGUUGAUAGCUUGUAAUACAAGUUAAUCAUGUGGUGCACACUAUUAUAAUAUGUGAAGUCUUGCUUGAGAAUGCUCCGGGCACUUGACUAUGGAAGAUAGAAUGGAAAUUGCAACAACAAAAUCCUAACUAUAAUAGAAUACUAACUAAACUCUAAUUAGACCAUAAUAAUGCUAAGUAAGCUUUAAUCAAAUUCAAAUAAACCUCAAAGAAAUUUCAAAGAAACAAUAAGAAAUCUUAAAGAACUAUUAGAAUGAUCACAAAUAUAUCUCAAAUACAUCUCAAUUCAAUCUUAAUUUAAUCCUAGUUAAAAUCCUAUUGGACUUCAUUCAAACUUUAGGCCAAAAAUAAUUAAAUAUUAAAUCCUAAACAAAUCCUAAUAAAAUCUUAAACCAUAAAUCAAACCCUAAAUCCUAAAUCAAACCCUAAAGCCUAAAUCAAAUCCUAAUUAAUCUUUAAAUCCUAAACCAAAUCCUAAAUGAAAUCCAAACCAAACUCUAAAUCCUAAACCAAACCCUAAACAAACCCUAGUAAUUUCUACAACAGAAUUAAACCUCAAUAACUAAUGAAUGAAUCGUUGAUCUUAACUCAAAUUUUGCACACUUCUUAAAAACUAAGUUGAAAACAAGCACAAAAAUUUUGAAAAGGAUCGAAAUUACCAAAUAGACGAUAACCUCAAAAAUGUGCUCGGGUAUUGGCCGGCCUCCUACUCCAAUCUUAAUGCCAAUCUCCCGGAGCCAAUAUCUCUCAUUUUCACUAUUUGAUUGAUUUCAAAAUUCUCAUAUACAUAGAAAAACAAGUGUAAUAUCUUUUCACACAAAUUUUACUUCAAUUCAAUUAUUAGAUUGCAAGAAAACUUGAAAACCCUCACUGGACCUAAAAUUCUACUUUCUGAGAUCUUGACCCAUUUAAACCUCAAUAAUCCUCAAUUCAACCGUUAGAUCGAGCUCAAAUUUACAACACAUAUUGAACACAACUAUGACCAUUAACCUACAAAAUUUCACUUAUAGAUCUAUUAUAAAACUCUUGAAAUCAUCCAAAACGUAAACCCUAUUUUAUUUCACAAAACCUAAGUCAUCCAAAACAAACCUUGACUUUGCAAAGCUCUUAGAAAAUCAAUACAAAUCCAAAUCAUCCAAAACCAACGCCCAUAGAAACCUUAUCCAAUCUUCUAUCAAAAUCCUUUCUCCAAUCUGCAAAAAGAACCCCAAAGUCGUCAUCAAGACUCGGUUUUGUGCCUCAAGGUCUGAUUUCGACCUUGGUUCAUAAUCGGCCCUCUCCAGAUAUCAAUAUGUAGUUUUUCUAAAUAAAUUUUGCUAGAAUUUACUCUUAAUUUCUUUCUAAAGAUACUUGUAUCAUUUAUUUUUCCAAUCUACUUUGUUUUGCCUUACUUAUGGUCCUACAAAGUAAAUAGAAGUCACCUUUCUAAAAGACAAUAUUGGUACCUUUUUGUUUUACUAUCCUUUUGACUAUUAACUAUAUUUCUAAGAUAAUUUGUUCUAAUACUUUGAACUAAGAUCUCCUACAUUAAAAUAAUUUCUACACUUUUUCACCUAUUAGUCGUGUUACAUCAUGACAACACAUAAGAAACUUGUUUUGCAAGUGAAGAUGUGUAUCUCAUAAAUUAGACACAUGUUUAAGGUCCUAUAGAACGUCCCUUGUAGCUUUUCUUUAGAUAGUAUAUAUAGAUACAAGAGAGAAGCUUUCUUCACUCUUGUCAAUUCCUUUGUUACUUCUAGUCUAGUUUCUAGGAUCUCUAAUUUUCUUAUUAUAUGGCAAUAGCCAUUUUAGUUUCUUUUUAAAUGUAUGUAUUUUUUUUAUUUCAACCUUAUUAUGUUUCUUUGAAAAAAAUUUCACUUAUUAAUUUGCCUUCAUCAAGUUCUUGUCUUAGACAACUUUAUAAUUAAAUUCAAAUAAUCUUAGUACUAUAAAUACAUGAAAGAAAAAGAUUGGUAUACUAAAGAAGUUUUAUGAAAGAAGAUUAAAAUUUUGAGGAUUUUUAGAACUAGUCAAUUUCUAUCUAAAGUUACAUAUUUUAUAAUUUUUUGAUGGAUUUAGUCAAGUUGGAUUCAUUAAUACAUUCAUAUCUAAAACUAAGCUUUUUUGAUUUAUUACUUUUAUAAAAAAUAUUUUUAAUUCCUAUAUGAUCUAAAUUUAUUUUUAAAAUAAUUAAUCACAAAUUUAAAAAAACCAUUGAAAAAGAGUAGCAAAGACAAAUCUCUUAUCUUUAUGAUAAGAAUCAUAAUUAACUACCAAAAAUGUAGCUCAAUUUCAAAACCUUACUUAUAAUAUUAUCUUAUUGUAACAUAAUUAUUAAGUGAAAGAAAGUAAGGUAUAUAUAUAUAUAUAUAUAUUAUAGAAGGGAUUAAUUAAAAAUAUUAUAAAAAAUUACCUUAUAAAUAUAAAUAAUGGUCAAAGUGAUAAUAAAAAUUAAUAAGUAUUAAUAUUAUUUUUUUGCAAAAUAGGCUUCCACUUAGUUUGUACAACUAUAAAUGAAAAAAAUCAAAGUAGAUUAAAAAAAUUGAUAUAAGGAUCUUUAGGAAAAAAUUAAGAAUAAUUUUUAGCAAAAAUGUCCAUAAAAAACCAAAAAUUGAUAUGCAAAGAGGACCAAUUAUGAACCAAAGUUAAAAUAAAAUAUCAAGGUAUAAAGUAUGGACAAUAUUUUAAAUUACUUUGAGAAUACUAAAAAUUAUGAACUUCAUGUUUAUUAUAUGUUAUAUAAAUUUAAAGAUGCAAAACUAUAUACUUAAAUGGAGCAGUGUAUAUUUUAUAUAAUUCAAGUUGACUUCUUAGGAUACAUCAUUUCAAAUAAUGGUCUAAGAAUAGAUUAUAAAAAAAUUUAGAUUAGUAAAGAUAAAAAUAUUUUAAUAAUAAUAAGAGAUGUCUAAUUUUUUUGAGAUUUUUUAAUUACUAUUAGAUUUUUAUUAAAAACUUUUAAAAGUUACAAUUCUAUUUAUAUAUUUGACUUGUAAAGAAAAACUUAAGUAGAAUGAAGAAGUUUAAACAACUUAAGAAGCUUUGAAGAUAAUUUUUACUCUAAUCAUAAUCUCAUAUUAUGUUAAUUUUUUUAAAGCAUAUUUUAUAGAAACAAAUAUAUCAAACUUUGCCUUAGAUUUUGUAUCAUCAUAAAUAAAAUUAAAUGAAAAAAUUUAUUUAUUAACUUUUUAUUUAAAAAUAAUAUUAGUAAUCAAGAUAAAUUAUAAGAUUCAUAACAAAGAACUUCUUGCAAUUGUAGAUUCAUUUUAAAAUGGUAUUAUUAUCUAAAAAAUGCUCCUAGUUUAAUAAUUAUUUAUAUAAAUUAUAAAAACCUUAAGUAUUUUAUAUUUAUCAUGAAUAUAUAUAUAUAUAUUAUAAUUAUUACCUAAGUAAUAUGAAUAGGUAGAAGUAGAUAAAAAUAAAUUAAUUUUAUAUUAUCUUCUAAAAAAGCUUUUUUGAAGCUUUUUAGAUGGUGUUUCGAUUUUAUAUGUGUUUGUAGUUGAUUGAUAGGUUAGAAACUUAGUCAACAAACUAAUCACGUGCUACAUGUGUUGGUAGCUUAUGGAAGAAGCUAGAUAGGUGGUGUCCAUAUAGAAAACUUGCCUUGCAAAUUAAGAUACAUGUCAUGAAAAGUUUCUUGAAGAAAAGAAGUCUAAAAGCUACAAAUACUUAGCAUUAGCAAGGAUUGUACUCUAAAAGAAAAGUGGAGAAAGAUAUCUCUUACUUCCAAAACUUUUACUUAUAAAUGGAGUUUACAUUCCAAGUACAUAAAUGUCACCUUCAUCUUUUUAACUAGAUCUAGAUUCAUCUUAACCUAGCCACCACCUUAAAAUCUUAGCCGCCACCAUAGUAACUUUUGCUACCUUUUGAUUAUUAGCAACUUACUAUGAUUAAUCUUCAUGUGGUGGUAACUAUAUAAGAACUUGUUGAUCUUUAACACUCCUACUUUGCUAAUUUUUAAAUGGUUUUUAAUCCUAAUCUCUAAAUCAAGUCAUGAUGUCUAUUCUUCACUAAUGCCUUUGUAAGCACAUCAGCAAGCAUGUCAUUUAUAGCACAAUACUUCAUACUUAUUAUUCCAUCUUCAAUCUUCUCUUGUAUGAAAUGAUGUUGAACAUCAAUGUGUUUGGUCCUUGAGUAGUAUUUUGGAUUCUUCGCAAAUGCAAGACAUCCUUAAUUCUUACAAAUAAUUAGAGUUGCUUCUAAUUGUACUAGACCAAUAUCUUCUAAGAGUUGCCUUAUCCAACACGCCUCUAUUGUACAAUGACUUGUUGCCAUGUACUCUACUUCCAUUGUUGAUCUUGCAAUGGUAGGUUGUCUCUUGCAAUUCCAUCAAAUGGCUCUCACUCCAAUGAAGAAGACAUGUCUCAUUGUGGAUCUUCUAUCAUUUGCAUCUCUAAUCUAAUCCACAUCACAAUAGCCUUACAAAUCAAUGUUCUUACCACCAAGGCACAAUUUGAAGUCCUUUUUCUUUUUAAGUACCUCAAUAUCUUUUUUACCAUUGUCCAAUGCAUUAAUCUAGCCUUAGACAUGUGUUGGCUUAUAACACUUAUCGCAUAUCCAAGAUCCACUCUUGUAGCCACUAUUGCAUACAUGAAUGAGCCUACUACUACCUUGUAUGGAAUACUUUGCAUCUCACCUUCAACUUGUGCAAACUCCUCAUCCGUGAGCUUCAUCAACUUCAAAUUUACCUCCAAGGAUGUUCCAAUCGGAUUGCACUCCUCUAUGUUGAAUCAUUUCAACACUUCUUUAAUGUACUUGAUUUGGAUCAUUGUAAUGGUCUUGUUACCACAAUCUCUUAUAAAUUCCACUCUUAAGCAGUAGUGUAACCCUCCCAAAUUACUCAUCUCAUAUUCCUUCUCUAAUUUGGCCUUCAUUUAAUCCAUCUUUUCCAUAUUGUUAGCCAAGAUGAUCAAAUUAUCAACAUAAACGAUUACAAUCAACAAGAACUCUCUACAUUGUAUCACAUACAAUGAAUGAUCUGCCUCACUAUUCACAAAAUCUUCAUUGACAAAGAAGGUGUCAAUUAGUUGGUACCAUGCCCUUGAUGAUUGUUUCAAUCCAUACAAGGAUUUCUUCAAUUUGUACCCAAGAUAUUCUUUGCCUUGUUGUACAAAUCCUUGAAGUUGGUCCAUGUAGAUGUCUUCUUGUAAUUCUCCAUUCAAAAAGGCCCUCUUUACAUCCAUUUGGUGUAUUUCCAAAUCCAUUGCUGCUCUGAUUGCUACAAUGGUUUUAAUGGUGGUGAACUUAGCAAUGGAUGCAUAAGUCUCAUUGCAAUCAAUUCUAGUAACUUGUGAAUAUCCUUUGGCAACUAAUCUUGCUUUGUGCCUUACUACUACAUCCAUUACAUCUAUUUUAGUCCUAAACACCCACUUACAACCAACACUAGAUCGAUUUGCUAGAAGAGGUGCCAAUUUCUAUGUACCAUUGUCCAUAAGAGAUUGAUACUCUUCUUCCAUAGCCUUCUUCUACUUGAUUGCAUCUUCACACUUCAUAGGAUCACAAAAAGACAAUGGAUCUGCAAAAAGAUCAAUAUUUGUAUGUUCUUCACUUACUUGAAGGAAGAUGUGAUCCUUCCACUAUUUGCCAUGUUGCCUUCUUUCUCUCAAAGGAUAUCUCAUUUCACUUGUUGAAGAACAUUCACCUUGUUGCACUCUAUGUUCCUUUCUAACCGUCUUCUCUCUUAAAUCUUGCCAUUUCUCACUCAAUGGUUGAUAUUCUUCAUCAUUAUCAUCAUCUCAAUCUUCAACAUCUUCAUUUCUUUCAUUGCUUGUCCUAGAAAUUGUAGGAGCCUUCAUCUUUUCAACCUACUUUGGCUUUUCAUCUUCAUCAACUUUAUUAUCUUCAUCUUCUUAUUUCUUUGCUAAAUUCAAAGAUGUGUCUAGAAACACACCCUUACUCCCACUUGGACACAUCUCUAAGUGCUCACAAGCACUCUUGUGCUCCAAAAACUCAACAUCACAACUUUUGAUGAUCUUCUUGGUUUCCAAGCACAUUAGUUUAUAUGCCUUAGUACCUUCACAAUACCCAAAAAACAUACACUUUAUACCUUUUGUAUCAAGUUUGGACCUUAUAAAAUCUGGUGUUUUUGCAUAUGCAAUGCAACCAAAGGUCCUCAUGUGGGAAAUGCAAGGUUUUCUUCCACUCCAAGCUUCAAGAAAAGAAGUCUAAAAGCUACAAACACUUAGCAUCAGCAAGGAUUGUACUCUAAGAGAAGUGUCGAGAAAGAUAACUCUUACUUCUAAUACCUUUUACUUAUAGAUGGAGUUUACAUCUCAAGUACAUAGACUUCAUCCAAAGUCACCUUCAUCCUUUCAACUAGAUCUAGAUUCAUCUUAACCUAGCCGCCACCUUAAAACUCUAGCCGCUGCUAUAAUAACUUUUGCUAUCUUUUGACUAUUAACAAUUUAUUAUGAUUAAUCUUCAUGUGGUGGUAACUAAAUAAGAACUUGCUGAUCUUUAACAAAGUCAACAUUUUUUUAGAGGUCCUAUAGAACCUAAGUAGAUGGUAUACAUAGAAGCAAGAGUAAAGCUUUCUUCACUCUUGUCAAUUCUUUUCUUAUUUCUAAUCUAAUUUUAAGAGUCUCUAGUUUCUCUAUCUUUUAGCCAUAGCCAUUUCAAUUUUCUUUUUAAGAUACAUACUUUUCUAUUUUUAUUUUUUCAUAUUUCUUUGAGAUAGCUUCACUUAUUUAUUUGUUUUUAUUGAGUUCUUAUCCUUGACAAUAUUAGCACAUAUUCUAAAUUGCUGCCAAGUCCAUUGAAACAUAUCUUUAUUAAGAUUUAAAUUCAAGAUUACUUACCUACUAAAAAAACCAAGAUUUACUAAAUAUCCUUUUCAAACGUUCUUAUCUUAUAUCAAAAAUAAAAAAUAAAAAAAUAAAAAAAUACAACUCUUCAUCAACAACAAAUCAUUCUUUAGAAGUCAUAAUAAUUUCAUGUUUGAGCAAUGAAAUCAAGACUAACUAUUGAUUCAAUAUUUUUUAAUCAAUUUAAAUAAAAUAUUUUUUUAAAUCUUUUUAUUUAUGAUAUUAAAAAUAAUUCUUAUAAAUCUAAUAAUAUUUUUGGAUUUGAAUUCAAGAAAAAUCUUCUUUAUUUUGAGAGAUGCUUAUAUAUUCUAAAAGGUGUAGCAUAACUACAUACUCUUUAUGCUUGUCAUAGUUUUUUAAUUACAAGAUAUUUUAAAUAUAACAAGACCUAAGAUUUAAAAUUAUUAUAUUUUUAGAAAUUUUUAAUAUAAAAAAUAGUUAAAGACUUUGAACAAUCAUAUAAUAUUUGUUCAAGAUAAAAAAAAUUCUUAUCAUUGACCUUAUGGACUUUUACAACCAUUAUCAAUACUAAAACAACCAUGGUCUUAUAUUUCAAUUGGUUUUAUCACAAAUCUUUUAAUUUUAAGUUCUUAUGAUUUUAUAUUUUUAAUAUUAAAUUAUUUCACUAAAAUGGCAUAUUUUAUAUCAUAUACAAAAACUAUCAUAAGUGAAGAAACAACUAAUUUUUUCCUUCAUAAUAAUUAUUAUUAUCAUAAAUUAACAAUAAAUGUUACAUUAAAUAAAAUGACUCAAUUUAUAUCAAAAUUUUGGAGAAUUCUUUUUUAGAUAUUGAAAAUGGAUGUAAAUUUAUUUUUUAUUUUUCAUCCACAAAUUAAUGGACAAAUGACAUAAAAGAUAAGAAGGUAGUAAAAAACUUAAAUGGUUUGGCAAGGAAAAAUUAUUGCUUAAAAAUUAAGACCUAUGUUAGAAAACAAAGACAACAAAAUUGGAGAGUUUUAGAAGUUUUUUCUCUCAAUAGGUGAGUUUGAUUUUCUUCAAUAUUUGAAAUGUGGAUGAAAUUUUAGUUGAGAUCAUUAAUUCAAUUAAUAGUUAUUGAGAUUUUAAAAUAACUUUAGAAAUUAGUUAAGAUUUAUUUAGGAUUUAUUAGGAUUAAUUAGGAUUUGGUGAGGAUUUGGUGAGAUUUUUUAAAGAUAUCUUAGAGUUUUAUGAUAUUUUGUUUAAGGUUUCAUUAUGAUUUUAUAUGAAUUUAUUUAGGAUUUUAUUAAGAUUUUUUUAAGAUUUAUUUAAGACUACAUGAGGAUUUGAUUAGGAUUUACUUAGAAUUUUUAUUUUGAAUAUAUUUUUAGGAUUUUUUUAUAUUUCUUUUAGAUUUUUAUUUUUAACAUUUAUUAAAGAUUUUUUAAAAGAAUAAUAUAUAAUUUCUUUAUAUUACUUUUAUAAAUAAAAUAAAAAAAUAAUUAAAAUUUAAUCAAGAUUUUUAAAAUUUAAUUAGAAUUUAUUCAAGAUUCUAUUAUAUUUGAUAAGACCUUAUUAUUGCAAUUUCCUAUUUAUCUUCUACAAUUUAGUAUCUAAUAUAAUUUAGUAUUUAUCUUCUCAAGCAAGAAUUUACUUAAUAUGACAUUGCCAAAAUAGAUUAGAAUAUUUUAUACAUUAGCAUAGAUAUGAUUUUAGUGAAUACACAUAGGAACUAACUAAAAAUAUUAUAAGUACAACAAAAAAUAUUGAUAUUUUUCAUUGCCUACAUCUAUCAAAAUAAAGAUGAAGAGUCAAAUAAUUCUUUGCUUUAAAAGAAAUAAGGUUUAAUAAAGAUUUAUCAUAGAUGUACAUAAUUAUCAAGAUAAAAAGUAUUAAGAAGAAGAUUUGAUACUAUCUUAUGGAGAAGCUUCCUAGAAGCUAUAUACACAUAGAUUUAAUUUUAUAUAAGUUUGUAAUUGGUUGGUAGGUUAGAAACAUGACAACCAAGUUUAUCAUGCAUCACACAUGUGAAUGACUAAUGGUACUAGUUGGUUAUAUAGCACACAUGUAGGAAAUUUAUUUUGCAAGUUAGAUAUGUGUCUUACAAGUUAGACACAUGUCAAAGGUCAUAUAGAAUACUACCACAUAGCUCUUAAUUAGAUGGUAUAUAUGGAUGCAAGAGCACAGGCUCCUCCACUCUUGCUAGUGCCUUAUUUGUUCUUAAUCUAGUUUCAAGAAUCUCUAGUCUUCUAGUCUUUAAUAGUAGCCAUUUUAGUUCUAGUAUUAUACUAAUUUUGAAUAAAUAUCUACUCCUUUUGAGUGACACAAGAGUGUAUUGAGGUUUUUAUUGUUUGUAAUUCAUGUCCUUGACAAUACUUUGUUUAAUUGAUAUUAGCUCUUAAAAGAGUUUUGUAUUUUUCUUUCUUAUUAUGAUUUAAAUAGACAAAAGAACACCUAUAAGGACUUAAUAUUAUAGAGUGUAAGAUAGAAUAUAUUUUUAAUGAUAUUAAAAUCGUCAAGUUAUGAUAUUAGGCAAGUCUUAAGGUGUCUAUAAAGAUAAUUUUUGUAUGAGUUUUGGCUAUUAACAUUGUAUGAUCAACUUUUAAGUAAAUCUUAAAUAAAGAAAUCUAGACUUGUCAUAUAUCAAAACAUAUUAAUACUUGCCUUAUAUCAUCUUAUGACCAUGUAUGAAAUAUGAUUAUGCAUAUUAUGUAAUAUUUAGUACAUGAAGUAUACUAUAUUAAAUUAUAUUGAAUAUGCUUACAAAAGCCUUGUAAUCCGAUAGCAUUGAAAAGAAGAUUAAUUCUUAGUUAUAAGUCAUGGAAUUAGUUUAAAAGUAAGUCUUAAGUGAUAAUAUCAAUAGAAUUCCAAAAAAUACUUAUAAUUAUUUAAAAAAGUAAAUAUGAACUAAAAAAUAAUGAUCAAUCUUGAUUACUUUCUUUAUUUCAAAUUCAAUUUGAAAUAAAAGAACGUAUAAAAAUAGUUAAUGCUAUAAAUGUGGUAUUACAAGUACAAUACUUGAAAAAAAAAAAAAAAAAAAAAAAAAAAAACUUUAGACUUGAAAUAUAUGUAAGACUUUAAUGAUGUAGAAAAAUUAAAAAGUUAUAUUAAAAUUAGGGUUUAUUUUAAUAAUAAUAAUAAUUGUGAAUUAUGUAUGAGUUGGUGCUAAAUGAUGAUUGAUUUUGUUCUAGAGGUGCGUAUAUAAGAAUUGAAAUAUAAAUAUUGUGAAGUUUAUUGAAGAAAUGAUUAUGAUUUUUUUUAGCCCAUAUGCUACAUAGCAAGAAAGAUUAUUUUCUUAUAUAUAUAGAUAUAUAUUUAUAUAUCUAUAAAAAUAAGACUUCUUUGAUUUUAGAAUUAAUUUCAAUGUUACAAAUUUCACAAGUCUGUUGUGUUAAAAUGUUAAAUUAAAAACGCUUGAAUGAAUGAAUUAUAUUAGAUUCAAAAACCGUGCUUAUCAUCGAGACUUCCAUAUGGGAACCUUGCCAGUUUCAUCCAACUGUAGGAAAAGCAACCAGAACCACGAAAGGGAACGCAAAAGGCUAGCGAAAGUAGAAAGGGGAAGAAUCUGAAGGCCCGGGAACGCAGCCGAGAGGGCGUUCGCAAAGAGAUUCGCGUCCCCAAGGAGGGGAAUCAAAUAUCUAAUGAAGCCAGCCGGGGGGGGGGGGGGGGAAAAAGGCUUAAGGGGGGCUUAAGGAUAAGGUUCCCAUGCCCGUGGGCCUCGCUCGCUAUCACGACAUGGGCAUUGUGCCUGGUCUCCGUUGCCUCCCUCCGCAAUCCUUCAAUAAACCCUCCGUUCCGACGAGUUUUCUCUUUUUUGCAUCGUCGUCGUCACAGAUUAGGUGAUGGAAAUUCGUUGGCUCUCAACCUUUGCCAUGCCUCUUGUAACUAAAAACUGAACAGAUGAUUCGUAGCCAUUUGAACAGAAUGACGAAUGUUGCGUUCUUUGUGGCUUCAGGGUUUUGGAUUUGGAUGGAUUUUGAGACUAGCAGGGCUUCUUGGAGGGUUUUUUGAUGAGUGUGGAGGUUUGAGCUGGGGUUGCAGUGAAGGAAGAGUAGGAGGAGGAGGAGUGGAGGUGGAGGAGGAGUGGAGGUGGAGGAGGAGUGGAGGUGGAGGAGGCGGCGAUUUGCAGUGGUUGCUAAGGAUUUUAAGGAAUUUUGUGAGGGGAGUUGGUUGAUUUUGAGUGUGUUGGAGGCUUAGAUGUGGUGGUGGAUAGGUAUGUAGUAUAGAGAAGGAAGUGAGUAGGCUGGAUAGCCAUAAGGCAGAUGGCUCUUACAGUCAGGGCAAUGGCAUCAGCUGCACAAGGUGUGCGUCGUGCGGGCAUGUUCUACAGUGACUCGUUGGAGUCAUCCAAUUUUUAUUGUAAGAGUAGGAUAAGUGGCAGAGCGAGUGGCGGGGUUGUUUGCAAGAAGGCUCUUGACGGUCUUGUCUGGAAACACUUGAGAUGGAAUGCGAAUUUCAAUGCCAAUUCACUCCCGAGGAGUCUUGGCAGAACGAGACGUAGAGGUCGGAGUCAAGUUGGCAGCUGGCGUGCUAUACAGGUUGAUAUGCAGCUCACUGACGAUGCUGAUGGCAUGAGAGUUGGAGUGAGGAAAGCGAGGAGCGCGGCUACUGAUGUGUCGUCAGUAUCUCAUAACAGUAGAGACUUCAUUGGCGGGGAGAAACUUGCAAGUGAUGGAGAAAAGAUAACGAAUGGGGUGAAUGUCAUUGGAAGGCCUAAGAAGUCUAAAAGCUCUGGAGUGAACGGUAGCUGUGGAGGGAAGAAGAAGAAGAAGUCUACAGAGGGCGCUAAGGAUGAUGAGCGCCUGAAUUUAAAGGUUGAUGGAUUUGUUACUGAUUACAGCGAUAGUGAUUUGGAGAGGGAUGCGGAAGAUAGCGAAGAUGAAUUUGAAGUAGAUAUCAGUGCUUACACUGAAAAAGGCAAUGGAAAUUCGAGGACUUCGGAUGCGAGCCUCAACGGCGAUACUAGGGUUUCUGGUAGUGUUAGAGAACGGAACCCUGGACAAGAGGAAACGGACUUGCGGUACAUGUUUUUGGAGGCAAUCAUGGAGAAAGCUCGCAAGGCAGACGUUGAAGGAGUGGAGGAGGCUUUAACUGGAAUGUCACUUGCGGGUUUGGAUGCUGGCCCCAGGGCUUACUAUGGUCUUACUGUUGCAUACGCUAGAUCUGGUGACCCGGAAGGAGCUGUACGUAAUUUCAUGCCUUGUGUGAAAGACCUAUUUUAUUUUAUUUUAUUUUUUUUAAUGCUGUUUGCGUAUGUUUGCUUAUUUAUUGACUCAGGCCUAACUGCUUAGAUUUUCCUUACUCUCGCUUGUCGCAGGCCAUGCCAUAACAAAUUGUUCAAAACUAAUUCUAUUCGUCUAUUCAUUUUGGGAUGCAUCUACUACAGAAUUUAAAAUUUAUCACUUCGAAUAUUGCCAGCAGAGUUGAGCUCAAGAGCUCAUCACAUGGUGACGAUGAAUAAUUGUGGCUAGUUACAAGAUAAUUUGUACCCUUUUAAUCUGUUUCAUAACAUUCACAGCUACUCGCUCAUAAUCUCCCUUUUCAAUUCUUUAGGGUGAAUGCCGUAGUGUUGAUGUAUGAAGGCUGUUGUCCCUUAUGAAUCCAAUCCACAUUGCGCAGGUCCAAGCACUAAAGAAGGCGGUCCAAGCAGGAGUGAAUCCUUUACCAGAAUCUAUGCUGGCCUGUGUGCGCCUUUAUGGUAGCACUGGCCAACCACAGCGGGGCAAGGAAAUUCUGGCUGCUAUGGAAAAGCUAAAUUACAACCCUAGGGUGGCUUGGCUAACUUUAGUUGGUAAGCAUGCUUUGACUUACGCAAAUGAAAAGCAUUGUUUAUUCUGCUUUCAAUUUGCGGUCAUCUGUGAAACGCGUGUUACCCUGUUUAUUCAUGUAUUCGUGAGAGACUGGUCUGAUUGAGUAGAAUAUUGGGUUGUAACGUUUUGAUGUUGAUAUGUAUCACAUCUUUUUCUUUGACCAUUCCGAUUCAUUUUAGUCUGAAAAAAUUUCAAUGCUUUUCUUGACUUAUUCACAGAGGAGCUUCUCAAUAAUUCUUAUCUACAAGAAGCGAAUGAGGUUUAUAUUGAAGGACUUGAAGGAGGACUUCGAGGCACAGACGUCUUGUUUGAUAGAAUAGUGGAGGCAAACUCUAUUAUUGGGGAUCAUGCAAAUUGUAUCAGUGUUCUUCGAUUAAUGGAAUAUGGCGGGCGCAUGUCUACAACAUUCCACUACAAUUGUCUUUUGCGAGCUCAGGUACUUACAGGGGUAUGAGUCUAGGUAGUAUGAUUUAACACAAAAAAGGACUAUCUAACUCGUCAGUCCUGAUUUUUUUUCUGAACUCCGAGCUCUGUAGUUACUCGAAAUCUGGUAGUCAAAUAUUGUCAACGCCUAAACUAGCAGAUCUAACUGUAAAAUGAGGCGUGACAAAGCAAUGUGCAAUUAGUGUUUUCUAGAGUUUUGAGUGUCUCCAUUGAACAUGCAGUUUUGAACGACUAAAUUAGUCUAUUCUUUACAUCUCCUAAUUGGUUGGCAAUGUAUUAUUUUUGGGCAGUGUAUGGCAGAUGUUCCAGACAUCAUCGCCAUGACGUUUGAAACUAUGCAGUAUGGCCGAGGUUGGUUCAAACCGCUAAAUGUGCUUGAUUCCAGACUGAGGUUGAUUUGCGAUGACGCUGUUUUUAAUAUGAUUAUUAUUUUUUUUUACCUUUGGUAGCGUGUACAUGUGCGUGUAGAUGAAAUGAAGCCGGACACAGAGUCAUACAACUGGGUAUUACAGUCAUAUGUUCGGCACAAGUUUGGUGACAGGUUGAAAUCUGCACAGCACUCUGAAGUUAAUUAAAGUUUUUAUUUUUUUUAUUUUUGUUUUCUACGUGUGGUCCCUGCAGGAUGUGACUCAUGCUCAUUCUAACUACCGUUAACGUACUGAUCUUUUUACGUGGUUUUUAAUACAGGUGUCAAGAGGUCAUCGAUUUGCUGGGAGAAAUGGUUGAAGAUCACAAGAGGGUGCAACCAAAUCAAAGGACAUACGCGUAAGUGUGCCAUUAAUUUCAAGGGCACGGCUUAGUGAAAUUUAAAUAUAUAAAAUACCACUAAUGGUGCUUUGUUUGGAGGAUAGAGUAAUUAAGCUCUGUCCUCCAAAUUACUGUAAGAUGGUGUGAUGGUCUUUAGUCACUUCGUCACCGAACUCUGCAUCCUAUUUCUGACUAUCGAAGGCUGAACAAAGUAUGAACUCACUUGCUUUGAUUCUUAUCUUGCUGUGAGAAAAACAUUGAAAUUCUUUUGUGUUCUUAUUUUUUCAGGCUUCUUGUGGAGUGCUUCAGCAAGUAUGAUCAUUUCAAUGAAGCCGUGAGACACUUUAGAGCGUUAGUUAGAAAUCCCGGAUCAACCACUUUUCUCUUCAAUGAAGGUCAUGGAAGAGACACUGAUCCGUUAUCACUUUACAUUAGAGGCUUAUGUCUAGAAGGUGCGUACUCUCACCCUUGUUUUCAGAAAUCUGCAUCAUUGAUUAUGAAAGAAAAAUGAAUCAAAAUGUGAUCGUGUUAGACCUAAGAUAAACGAGCCAUAUUGAACGUGCAAAUCAAGUCGCAUACUCCUUACAACCUAAACUAAGGGACAUUUCUUCGUAUUUCCCUUCAGAAGUUGACUAAGAAAUAACGUAGCCGAUGUGGUUUGAGAAUGUUCAGGCCGAGCCGGAGAUCUGGUGGAGGUGUUGGAAUCCAUGGUCAGGGACAAUCAGCCCCUGCCAGCGAGGGCACUUUUGGUCAACAAGAGGGGUCGUACAUUGGUCAGCUCUUGGAUAGAACCUCUGCAGCAGGAGCCCGAUCUUGGUUACGACAUCGACUAUGUUGCAAGGCAUGUCAUUUGUAUUGAUUGAAACUAGGUGUUAGCUGUUUUGUUCUUUAGAUGAAUGCUCCUUUCGCACAAUUGGUACGAAUCUUAUUUAUUUUAGUGGUAUUUACUUCAGUGAUUUGGGUAGAUAAUGGAGUUUGAGGAUAGGUUUUGUCAAAUAUUUAGUUCCGCGCGCAAUUAGUGUUAGUUUCAAACGAGAUUGUUGAAGUGUACUACAUUUCGGAGCGGGACCAUAGCGACAGUACCUGGGAUUUUUUCUGCGGUCUUGUAGCUGUUCUAAAGAUGUCAGAAGUUUCUUCGUUGUAUGUGUGCUAGUACGAGAGUGUCAAUUGGGAUUAUAUUCUUAUGACUCCAACUCCAUACAAUGUUUAUAGAAACACACAAACUCUUGUAGUAUAUGUACAUGUUAGAGUGAGCAGUGACUGAAAUUUAGAAUUAUCACCUUGAAGAUGUGGGUUGAGGAACUACUGGUAAUGAUACUUUUGAUAUUCUGAACAGAUUCUUAGCAGAAGGAGGCGGGGAUGGCACGCGGAAGAGAUUUACUGAUUCAGUUGGUGGAAGGUUCAAGGCUGUAGAUGAUGAUGGCUUCGCAUAUGCAGCCCCGCUGGAAGUUUCUUACAAGAGUUUCCUGACUCAUAUGCGCAAGAAUUACAACUUACGGUUGCUUCGGAAGCUGAGAUUGGAGGGUGUGCGUGCUUUAGGUCCAGGUGCUACUGAGGCAGAUCUUCACCGUGUAAUUGAAAGGUCAGUUUUCUUCAUUUGUGUGCUGAAUUCAAUGUGUGUGUGUGUGUGUUUUUUUUUUUUUUUUUUUUUUUUUUUAAAUUUAGAUAUCAUUUUCACGCGUUACUGUGCAUUAGCAGAGACUAUUUUCUUAAAGGUCUAAUAUAUUAGUCUUGUUGUUUUUCAGGCUGAAAAAGGAUACUAGAGGCGAUGUGGGUUACCAAAUAAGGAAACCGAAGGCAGCUAGUAAGAUGCUCGUUUCAGAGCUCAAGGAUGAGUUGGAGGCACAAGGGCUUCCUACUGAAGGCACUAGACCAGUGCUGUACCAGCGCGUGCAGAAAGCCAGACGGAUAAAUAAGGCUCGUGGCCGACCACUCUGGGUUCCUCCAACAGAAGACGAACUUGAUGAGGUAUAUCAGAUAUAAGCAAGAAAUUUUCAGAUUUCUUUCACCACUUGUCUUAUUGUCGUGUACAAACGCAGUUACAGUGUGCGAUGUUUCGGCUAGUUCUCAGCUCAGUUUUUUUCUGAAUCUCUGGGACAGUUGUGAGUUUCCUAUUUUGCUUCUCCGGUGGUUCGACCUGGCCCUCUCCGAUGGUAUCUGUUAGUAAAUAGUGGUAGUAUUGGUGAUCCUGUCUUCUCGAGCAUAUUUUCGUUAUUUUUAAUAGUAUGUAUUCUGGCACUGUCUGCAGAGACAUGAUGAAGAGAUUGAUAUGUUUAUGGAAAGAUUAACGCUGAAGAACGAGAAUUCGGAAUUCUGGAGGAAGCGAUUUAUCGGCGGAGCGGGUAUUUUGGAUGAGGAGGAAUCUUUAUAUCAAGCUUCUGCCGAUUCUGACGAAGAAACCUUCGCAGACGAUGAUGAUGAAGAUGACGACGAUGAGGAUGAGCUUCAGGUAACAGACAGUGCAGAUGAUCUUGUUGAAGAUGGAGGCGAGGAGGAUGUAGGGGAGCCCCCUGAAAUGUUGGCUAUGCAGCUUCUGAAGAACAAGAAAGAAGAGGUUAGUUAUAAGUGGUGGUGUAGUGCAUGUUCAUUAUGAAAGAAUCUUUUCUUUCUUUUUGAUCUAUGCUGUUUUGGUCUUUGAACAGCGCCUGUAGCAUGGAUACGAUCGUUAGAUGUGAGGUCAUAUCAGACUCUGAGUAGUUCAUAUUGUUUUAGUAAGCGACUGUUGGUCCUGGCCCUGAUAUGAAUGCAGUAGCUUCUGGUGGGACUUCAGUUAAAUUGACCUCAGUCCGACCUCGGUCUCAGUUAAAUGUGCGUUUGCGAUUCCGUAGUCUAUUGUAGGCAAAUUGUUUAUUCUGUGAGCCGGGUGUUAGCUUCAAAUGUUAUCUCCUAAAAUAUUAUUGUUUAUCAUUAUUUUCAGGUUCCGGUAGUGAAGGAAGAGGACAGGGAGGGAUCAGAGUGGCUAGGGUUGACUCUGGAUGAGAAGAUUACAUUUAUGAAGGAAAGGGGUAUGGAUGAAUCAGCAUUCUACACCAUAGCUGAUGUCUGGGGAUGGACAUGGGAGCAAGAGAUUCGAGAUCGUGUGCCAGAAGACUGGUCCCAGGAGAAGGAAGUGCAGUUGGCCAUCGAAAUCAUGCUCAAGGUUGGACGAUUCUCUGUUCUCUCAGCCGUCGUAGCUCAAAAGUUACAAGUGGCUCUCUCAGCUGCACGAGAUGUAUUAUUGAUUUUAAUGAGUUACAUUAUUCAAUGAUUAGGAACUGAUCUAGUUGUCUCUUCAGGUUCAAGCUCUUGGAGGAAUUCCAACCAUUAACGACAUGGGAAUACUUGUACGAGCAGCAAUGCGAACACCUUGGCCUGAGGCAUUAGUUUCUCUUCUCCAACAUUCUCAUAAGCUUGGUUAUGCAUUUGGCAGGUAAAUUGUUUGUCAUUGGACCUCGUCAUUUUUAAGGAUUGUUUUGUUACUUUCGGUUUAUUUAAGGAAAACGACUUGAAUGCGUUAUACUUGAGGAUAUUUUUUGAUGCACAAGCAACUUAGAAAUUGCACUUUUGUUACUUGCAGCAAGUUGUAUGCCGAGGCUGUGCGUCUGUGUCUAUCACUCGGAGAAAAGGACGCUGCAAUUAAUAUCAUUUCUGAUAUGGAGGAUAUGGGCGUGGCUGCUCCACCAGACCUUCUCACGGAUGUCCUCGAAGAAACCCAGUUUCGGCAAAUCUCGGAUGUCCUUGCAGUAGAACCAGAGGAAGAAUAGGUCGAGACGAUACAGCUUCCCUCUUUUUAUCGGGCUUACCUUUUAUCCCGCAUAGGAAAGAGCUGUUUAGAAAGCGAGUCAUUUAAUGAAGUCGCCUUUUUAGAAGCCUGUUCUGACAGCGCACAACUUGGUCGCACCUUAACCUAGAUACUAUGAUCUUCCUCGCUUUUACUAGCCCUUUUGAGACGGUUCAGUAGAGAGCUCUCAUCUUCUCGUUUUAGAGGCACAGAGAUGCACAUCUUUGCCCUCAUCCACUUAGAUGCCUGGCCAACCCUCAGGCACCAGAAAAUCACUGAUUGUUUUCGUGAUAUAUUAACAAAGCUGUUAUACAAAGCCUCUGGAAUAUCCUCGGCUUUCACACAUUUUAUUAAAGCUAGUGAAUCUUUUGGUCAACUUUUUGGAAGUGAGCUGGGUAAAGUUGCAUGGGUUGCAUGGGUUGUAACCUGCGGUUUAUUAUCUGGUUCUGAAAUUCUACAUGCCGUAAGAUCAUACCGUUUUUUCAGGAUCUCACUCUAAGUUUUCCUGUUGAUGUUUUACAUUCGGAUAUUCUCCUGCAACUGAUAUCAGGAGUUAACUGCGUGCGAAGUUUCAGGCAGCCACAGAAUCCCAUAAUUCAGCUUCUGUUUAUGAUUCUUAACAGAUCGUUCAAUCGAUUGCAUUGAUAUUGUGUGUGUGUUGAUAUCUACACAUCAACACACACAAAUGGUGAUACAUACGAGUAAGAGUAAGCUCAAAUAACCAAGGGAAGUUUGAAUGGUGUGCAAAUUAUUGUCGUAACCAGCAUGUAUUGAAGAAACCAAAUUAUUUCGGUGUAAUUACCGUCCUUAAAGUUAAUAUAGUGCCCUUAUUGUGAUCACCCUGGUUACAUUGCAGCAAUCUUUCUGCAUUGUUAACCUCUAAAUUAAGAUAGAACUUCUAAACUAAGGAAUUCUUUCAAUUUCAUUUAGUUGAUUGAACUUUGCAAGACUACAUCAAUAACAUUGCUGAACUGAUUUGUUUUUUUCUCUCAAACUUAGAACAACCAAAUUAAAACAUUGCAGUAGUGGGUUAUACACAUGAUAUUGCAGUGCAUCUUUCAUACACAAAAGAGACUCUCAAUGUUGGGUAAUAUUAUUAGAGGUAAAAACUACUCUUGAUUGUGCUCUAAGUAUUUUAUUAGAAGGAAGUUACAAAGACCUCAAUAAUGAUCAAAUAAAAUGGUGGUAUUCUCUCCCUUCUAUGGGAUACUAUUAAUGAUUGAAAGGACCUAUCAACUACCUUUAAUGGGAACAAAAAUUAGAGUAUGUGGCAAACACAAUUUGCCACAUUUUGGACUUUAUCAACAUGUAAUCACCACUCUUUGUAGAACUCAUUUCAAGAAUGGAAGUAGGAAAGGAGGAGGUAAUGUAAAAAAUAUAUAUAUAUAUAUAUAUAUAUAUAUAUAUAUUAGUAACUACUUAGAUUAGAAGAAUUAGAUAAAAGAAAUAAAUGUAAGCAAAUUUAAAGAUAUUUUGUGGAAAAGCUUUAUAAACAUAGAUUUGACUUUCAAAUUAUUUGUAAGUGAUUGUUUGGUUUAAAACUUGGUCAAUAAAUUGGCUAAGUAUUGCACAUGUUUACUUUCUUUACAAGUUAACUACUAUUGUUUAUGUUGACCACUUGCUUUAUAAAUUGGCCACAUAUUGCAUACAUUGGUCACUUAUCAUAUUAAUUGGCCAUGUAGUGCACAUGUUAGAAAUUUUUGUUGCAAAUUAGAUAGGUGCUUUAUAAGUUGAACACAUGUAAGAUGAUCUAUAGAACAUUGUGACAUAGUUCCUUAGUUAGAUAAUAUAUAUGGAGGCAAAAGUGAGGCCUUCCUCAUUCUUGCCAACACUUUUCUUGUGUUCUUGCUUUAGUUCAAGAACUUCUAGUCUCUUUGUAUUUAGCAAUAGUUUUACUAGUUCUCGCAUAUAUCUAUCUUUGAUUUGUCUACUUUCUUUUUUUUGAGUAUUAUAAAAGUGCAUUACUUCUUUAGAGUUUGAUUAUGAUUCAUAUCCUUAAUAUUAGCUUGACAUAUAUAUAUAUAUAUAUAUAUAUAUAUAUAUAUUACAUUUAUGUAUAUUUUUUAAUAUCUAUGGUAGUAAAUAUAAUUUAAGAAAGUGUUUUUACUAAAACUUAUUUAAAUUUUAUUGUGAGUUAUAUAUUCACCUUCUUGUUUAUAUUGUGUUCUUACAUAAAAAAAAUAAAUCUGAUAUCAAAAUGAUACAAAUAAUAAAACAAGAAAAUCUCAAACCAAUUAAUUGAAGAAGAAAAAAAAAUAGUAAAAAAUAUGAUAAAAUAAAAUGUUAAAUUUUAUAUUUUAAUAAAAAAAACUUAUAUAAUUUUUUUUUUAAAAUAAACCUAAAUAUAUAUAUUUUUAAAAAGAAUAAAGUGAUUUUUUUCUAUUAUUAUUAUUUAUUAGAAAACUUAAACAAAUUGCACCCUUUAGAAGCAUGUAAAUGAAAAUUGGUCUAUAAGUAAAACAUUAUAUUUUUUAAGCAAAAAAUAUUUUUUAAUAAACUUAAAGUAUUUAUUGUAAUCCAAAAAUAUAAUUUUAAUUUAAUUUUAAAAUGUUUAUUAUAGAAAUAAUUAACUAAUUGAAUUGCUAUUCAAAUAAUAGUUUAAUGUAUUGGUUUUAUGUUUAUUGAUUCAUAACAUAAUAUUCUUAGUUUUAACAUAAUAUAUAAAACCAAAUUAAAUAUAUAUUUCUUUAAAUUUAUUUUUAUCAUAUAUACAAAUAUAUAUAUAUAUAUAUAUAUAUAUAUUAAAUUAAAAAUUAAACAUAUGCAAUGAAAUUUUGUAUUGCUUUGAAAUUUUAAAAAUUACAUUAAGUUUUGAAAAAUAAUGCAUAUGAAAAUGAACUUACAUGCAUUUUUAUAUUUUACAAAUAUUCUUAAAAAAUUAAUGGAUUUUUUUAAUUAUAAGAAUAUUUCAUAUUAUUAAAUAUAUAACAUGUUUUUCAGUUAUAAACCAGAAAUAUCAAACGGAUUAUGUCAAAUUAGUAGAAUUAGAUAAAUUUUUAGAAACGAACCUAUUUGCAUAGAAUAUCUAUUCAUGGUAACUUAUAGUAUUAAAAUAUCUACCACAUGUAAGUUAGUAAUUAAUGUUGCACAUAAAUGUAUUAAAUUUAGAAAUAGAUUUAAUUAAAGCAUUAAUAUUUUAAAAAAAAAUAUAAAAAAAAUAUUAAAACAUAAACAUGCAUUGUAAAAAAUUUGGUAUUAAAAAUAACAAGAUGUGACAAUUAAGAAAAUUUUUAUUUUAUUUUAUUUUAUUUUACAGAGAAUACAAAAAUACCAAAUUCUAUCAGCGAAUAUUUAUUCAAAUUAUUUUCAUAGUAUAUUUUAUUUUAAAAAAUUAUUUGAAAAUAUUUUACAAUGAGAGUUUUUAAUUUUUAUUUAAUAUUAUUUAUUGUUCUUGUAAAUCCAUUUCAUAAAAAUUAUAAUAAUAAUAAUUAAGAUGCAAGAAAUUAAUCCAGUUAUUUUUUUAAAAUUAAAUUAAAAAUUAAAAAUAAAUAAAAUUAAAAAUAAAAUCCAAGAUUAAUUUUUAAAAAAACAGUCAUUAAAUAAAUUUAUAUUUCAAAAAUCUAAUAAUAGUUUUCUAAAAAAUAAAAAAUGUAGUGGUAUAGAUAAACAAAAUAUGCAACAUGGCUAAUAGGAUUUGUUGCACAAAAGAUAUAAAAAUAAAAUAAAAAUAACAUAAAAAGUAGUUUAAGUGGAGCAAGACUUAAGAUUAUCUUUAAACAAUUAUAAUCUUCUACAUCAUUUAAGUUUGUAAUCUCAACAAUAACCUUCAAUAAAAAAUUUAGAUUUUUUAUUAAAUUCAUUAAGUAUUAGUAUUUGAAAAACUAUUUAAAGACAUAAAAUUUAAUAUUAAAUAAAUAUGUAGUGAGAUAAAUCUAUUUUUUAUUUUUAAACAAUAAAACUUUAAUUUGCAACUUAUCACUUUGUAGAGCCUUCAUAAUCACCAUAUAGAAGUCUUAGCAUAUUUGUUUUUGCAAUAAAUGAGUUUUAAGGUUACUAAAAAUAAACUUAGUAUUACAUUAAAGUUUAAUUAGUUAAAAGUUUCUAUUUCAAUUUUAGAGAUAUUCUUUUAAAAUUUCCAUAAAACUAUUGAAAUAUCUAAAUUAUUUAUAAUUACAAUGUAAAGUUUAAAGUUUGAUUAGUUAAAAGUUUAUAUUUCAAUUUUAGAGAUAUUCUUUUAAAAUUUCCAUAAAACUAUUGAAAUAUCUAAAUUAUUUAUAAUUACAAUGUAAAGUUUUGUAAAGAACUUUUAUUUUUUUAUAUCAAGUUUAAUAAGUAUUCUAAGGAAAAUACCUAUCCAUAACAAUGCAAUAUGUAUGAAGAUGAAAUAAAAAUAAUACAUGAAAAAAAUUAUGUCCAUGAUGUAAUAGUAUUAAACUUAUUUUUUUAUUCAUUGAUUUUUUUAUACUACUUUAAAUAAGAAAAUGAUAAUUUAUGUCUAAAUAUAAUAAUCAAUGUAUAUUACAUUUUUAAUAGAAAAUAAUAAAAAAUUAUGUUGUUAUGAAUAUAAAUCCAAAAUAUUGGAAGUUAUUAUUUAAACAUUUUAAGCUUCAAUUUAAAUUUAUCAUUAAAUUCUAAUAUCUUAUGAUUUUUUAAGAAUAUAUAUGUAUACAACAAAAUAGAAAAAAAAAAAUACUAAUUUAUUUUUAAAAAAUCUGAAAGUAAUUAUAAUAUAUCAAAAUAAAUGGAUAAAAAUUAUGAGUUUUUUGUCCAUUUAUUUUGAUACAUUAUAAUUACUUUUAGAUUAUUUUUGAACAAAUUAGUAUUUGAUUUCUAUUUCUUUAUAUAUAUAUAUAUAUAUAUAUAUAUAUAUGUAUAUUAUAAUGUAUCAAAAUAAUGUUACCAAAUACAUAGUUACCAAAUACAUAGCUAUUUGGUAUCUUAGAAUUUCCAAAUUUCCAUGUACAAACAAAUGCAAAUCAAAAUAGACCAACAAUAGAGAAAUUAACAAAUCAUUUAGAACUCUACAUGGAAUUGGUAUCAAAUAUCCUAUCAUUGACAAUUUUUUGUUUUAAAGAGUAUAACAAAGUUAAUCAAAUCCAAUUAAUCAAGACACAUUAAAAAUGAUCCUUUGACUUUUUACAGAUUAUAAAAUACACUUCUAACUUCACUACAAAGUGUGAGACAUGAUUACAAUUUUUUUUUAAAAUUCUGGCUGAGGAUCUAUAAAAAUACUCCAACAAGUCCUCUUUCACAAAUUAUCAACUUAAAUUAAAUGCAUGAAGAUCUUAUGGCUUUUCAUUGUAGAGUCUUGUUUUUUUGACAAUUUGAGAGAUAUGAAAGAAAAAAAUCUUAAAAAAUAAAAUUUGACAUGCCAUUUAAAUACAAAAAAUUAUCUAAAAUUGCUUAACAUAAUAUAAUAAAACUAGUUGGUUGAAGACCAAAGACAAAAAUGGAAAAAAAUCAUAACCAUUUUCUUAACAAAUCAUUUGUUUAGAAGUUUACUAAAGUUUGGAUUUAAAAUAGCAAAUUAGAUAUCUCAGUCUCUCUACACUGUAUUGGAUGGAAUAUGAGUCCACUCUAAUAAUUCAUGUUUCCUACCCAAUUUUAGAAUCUUAAAACAAAUUAUAGAUAUGUGUGAUUUUUUUCUAUAUUAACAACAAUAAAGAGGUAAACUGUCGUAGGAUUUAGUUUCUUUUUUCAAAAAAAGAUAAAAGUGAAACAAAUGUAAAACUGAAGAAGAACAAAAGUUUAUAUGUAUGCAUAAAUAUAUAUGUAUAUAUAUACCUAUAUAUAUAUAUACCUAUAUAUAUAUACCUAUAUUUAUUCACAAAUGAUUAAAAAGGGGCUUAUUGUCCGGAUCAGUCCUUUUUAUUGAGUGCAUCCCUGCUUCUGAGCCAGUAUACAGUUACACUACUGCAUGAAUUCAUUGAUCUGUGGUGCAUUCCACGAGGUAAAAAUGAUCGAUUCGAAGCAGAAUCCGCGGGACCCAUCGGAGGAAGGAGAAACCCAUCACAUAGUGAUCCAUCGGCGACAUUGGAUCCAACGAUGCACGAGAUGAUGGAUGGCCACUGCCUGCCUGGUCACGCAGGAUCUGCCGCUCUGGAUCAAGGAUUCCUUGCCCCUUGUCCGCUACGGAACAAACAUCAUCAGCACAUCGAGAAACAAAACCAAAAACAUAAAACAAAAAAAAACGAAAAAAAAAAACGCAAUAAGGACGCUGCCGCAGAUGUGGAGGCUACCUUGAGAGAUCGGCCGAGGUCGAGGUCGGAAGGAAGCUCAUCAAUCCUGUGCCAUGGGUCGUCGUCGAUCCCACUGGAACCUGCUUCACUGGGCGAGCGAAUCCGGAACUGACCGAGAGCAGCGAACCCAAGUGGAAUAGCUGAUGCGGACUGGAUCCGUGCUUGUGGGGCACCGGAAGUUCGGAAGACCAGGAUCGGCGCCGAGAAGAUCGCACCCACAAAACCCACUUCUGGGCUCUAGGAUCCUCGUGCUGAAGAAUCUCUACCUCGUGACCCUGCCAGGGUCGACGAUCUCCGAUGUAGGAAGGGCGGGGAAUCUCCGCGACUGGGGCCCUGUUCCCGUGUGUGCGGCCGCCAGUCGAUUUCGUGCUCUCAGGAGACCCACGGGAGCCCUCACCACGUCUUGUGAGCCACUCGUCGGAACUGGAGAGAAAUUUUCUCACAUUCGGACAAGACUUGACUUUGCUCUAAUCAUAUGUUUAUUUUGUUUUUUUGGCAUUUCUGGUCCCCCGGAUGUCCAUGAGUUGACAGUGUUUUAUUUUUCUGAACUUGUUCGAGUCCGGGUCGACUGGUACUUGUGCUGCACGGAUAGUGUUCGGAUCUGGAAAUUGGUUCAGAAUUGUGUCGGUUUCGGCGACUUGUUGCGUGCCAGGAGUGCACGGAUUCGGGGUGCGACGUGACGGUGGACGAGUUUUCGGUUCCGAUGUUGUUGGUCGUUAGACGGAUUAUGGGUGGAGAGUGAGUGAGGAGGGAUAUGUUGGAGGGUUGGAUUUGCACCCUGGUGAGAGGAAGGAUGAGCGGAUUGCUGCAUUAAGGGUUGAUAUCGUCGGCGCAACUGACGUUUGGUGUUUUUGGCUGGAGCUUCUCCAGGUGUUUAUCGCAUCCCAUUACAUAGCUUCUUUUUUCCAAUUUAGCUUACUGUUUAAGUUGACCCUGUUUGGUUUAUUGAGGGAAAGUUCUGUGGUUCGUACUCCUUUGAGGGACUUGAGCUUCCUUGCCGGUUACGUUAACCCAUGACUCGACAAUCACGGCCAAGCUAAAGGCUGACAUCAUGUCGUCUAUCUCUGUCUUAAAUUACUUUCGAGAAUGAAACAAUCAACUUGAUUGUGUACUACUGCUGCGAAUUUCCGAUGAGAGGGAUGAUACAUGUUCGGAAGAGAAGGAAUUAGAAGGAAUCGACAGAAUGGUGCAGUAGUAUGUUUGCCUCGCAGCUACCUAGAAGAUUGGCCUUCCUCAUUCUAUAGUGUAGAAUGCACUUUGCUGCCUAGAAAGUCGUUGGUGGCAGCAAUCUCACGAAAGAGAAGACUUCAUGCAAUUCGUAGGCUCUGUGUGCACUUUGUCCCCAAGCCCUUUGAAUACCGUGGUCGCUUUUUACGCUUAAAAUGCACAACUAGAGCCCCUGGACACUUCCCAGAAGUUUGUAUGUGAUCUCAUGGAGGGUUUCUUUAUCAACAUUUGAUUUGAUUUUCUCCAUUGAAUCGAGUGCUUUCUAGGGCCUCAGACUUUCAAGUCUAUAUUGUUGGUUGUAGACCUUUCAGUAGCAGAUAGGUGGUUAGAUGAGAGAGAAAAGAAGCGCAUGCAUCUCAUUGAAGACAGACGGGUUUUAUGGAAGCCACAAAGGAGAGGCUUAAUUUUCUGGUUUGUGAGCAUAUUAGGUCAUCGUUCUCCAUAUCAGAAGCACUUACAACUCUGUAAUCUCUGAAGCUAUACGAACUGCUCAUGUGUCUUAUACACUUAUUAUUUCUCGCAUCCAGUGGCCUUCACCAAAUCAACCAAUUCUGCGGCUUUCGUUUAAUCGAAGAGUCGGGUGCGGCCGAGCCGAUUUCUACGAUGGGCGUUCAUCCUAAUGGAAUCAGCUCGGUCAGGGACACAUAUCCUUUGAGUUCACUAAGUUUCGAAGAAUUGCAGCCCGAUGUAAAAGAUAUCCCGGUGUUGUCUCAUGGACAGUUUAUGCAACACAAGAAAGAAGAGGACUUCGCUAUUGCAGUGACGCAUUGCGAGAGAGUUCCUGGUGAUCCAUCGACCACGUACGCUGCGUUUAUGGUAUGUAGCCUUUAUGUUUUAUUUAUUUAUUUAUUUUUUUUUUUUUUCCUGCGUUCAAACUCUUUACUACUUCAGGUUGCUCAAUUGUGGAAGUCAGGCUGAAACACGUAAUGUGGGUUCUCUGACAGGUUUUUGAUGGUCACAAUGGAGCAGCGGCAGCCACCUACUCUAAGCAAAAUCUUCUCAACAAUGUCAUGAGUUGCACGCCACCCAAUCUUACAAGAGAAGAGUGGUUGGCGUUUUUACCACGCGCUAUGGUCGCAGGAUUUGUGAAGACAGACAAGGACUGGCAGAAACUAGGUAUAGUACAGCUGAAUUUUGGACAGCAAUUACUGAAGUCUGAUGCACCAAUUACCUUUCCGAGUAUGGCUGAUUUACUUCUUUUUUUCUUUUCUUUUUUUGUGUUGUUUUUGUUAUCUGUUUUAAAAGAACUGUCUCUAGCUAGAAGAUUGAAAAGACUGAAAGCCUUUGUGUUGGUUGGUUCAGGGAAAACAUCAGGCACAACAGCCACAUUAGUGAUUGUCGAUGGAUGGACCAUCACCGUAGCAUGUGUUGGAGAUUCACGGUGCGUAUUAGAUGCGCAAGGAGUAGCGACGCCGUUAACAAUCGAUCACAGGUUCGACGACAACAUUGAAGAGUAAGUCCGGUCUUGUCACCGUCGAUCAUCAAAGUGGCAGCCUUGGCCAUAUUCAAGUUUGUGUGUUGAUUGUGGAGAUCGUUGAGACAAUCUUGGUAUAUUCGCAAGCUCUGAAAUUAGUUUACACUUUCUGAAUAUGUGCAUGGUGCUGUUGCAGGCAAGAGCGCAUUAGAGCAAGUGGAGGGGAAAUUGGGAGAAUUAAGAUUUCAAAUGGGGAAAUCGAGGUUGGCCCUCUUAGGGUUUGGCCAGGUGGUCUUUGCCUCUCGAGGUCGAUUGGCGACAUUGACGUGGGCGAUUACAUUGUGGCUGUGCCUCACGUUAAACAAAUUAAGGUAGUGUGAGACUUUUCUUCACUUUGAUCUCAUUUUGUUUUGUUUUAGUUUUCUUUCUGUUCCUUCAAGCUGCUGUGUUAAAUGAGAGCAGGCCCUUAACAAUCUGGACUCAUCUUAUGUUGCUGCAAGAACUAGAACGCUCUUUUACACACUCCAGAAUCUCAUUCGUUUUUCGAACAUUUCAAGGAAUGGACUGUUGUUCUAGGAACUUGUGUCAAGUCGAACUGCGGUCUCUAAUUCUGAGUGGUUGAUCAUUUUCUUUGGCUCCAGCUUUCUCCUGCUGGAGGUAGGCUGAUCAUUGCUUCAGAUGGAGUUUGGGACGCUGUUAGUACAAAGAAGGCUGCUAGAUGCUGUCGUGGGGUAUCUCAACCAGAAAUUGCUGCUAAAUAUGUGGUGAAGGUUGUGUUCCUUUACUUGCUUUUUUCUUUUCAUUCCUUUUUUCUUUUUAGUUUUGCAAAUGAUCAACAGAGUUGCAUCAGGUUAACGAAAGAGAUACUUUCUUACACCAUCAGAGUAGGUUUUUCAUUUACUAUGAAACCGAAGAGUUUAUUCUCGGUGACUGCUCUUAACAUUCUUGAAAGCUGGGCUUUUUAGUCCACUGCGCUUGCACGUUGGGUCUGUUUCUUUCAAAUGUUUGGAAGAAUGCCAUAUGCAAACAUUGAACGGUUUGCUAUUAAAUGUUCAAGCACUACACAUUGGAAUAUAUGGAUGGUUCUGAAGGACACAUGAAUGUUAGUUCAGUAUGUUACUGUUCACAGAAGAGUAGUGUAUUUGUCAUCAAUUCCGGAAAUGGGUCCACCACUUGUUUUUGCAUAUGUUGAGAUAGAGCUUGUUGGACACCAGGAAGCAAUCAAGGCCCGCGGAUUACGAGACGACACAACAUGUUUGGUGGUUGACAUAGCUCCACGAAAUUCUGAAGUGCCUUUUGCUCCAGCAGUCAAGAAACAAACCAACUUCCAGAAAUUGUUACGCUGCAUAUCGGUCAAGGAAGCGCAUAUUGAUUACGACCUCAACAUCAUGGAAGAAAUCUUCGAUGAAAACUCCCCAGCUCUGGCUGAAAGGUGAGUAAAACACUUACAAGUCGAAAAUCGUAUCCAUAUUUCCUGUGCUUUAGAUGGUGUACUUCUUAUUUGGCAGUUACCCAACCGAAGAGUCGCAUCUCUGAACUAAUUUUUCGUCGUGCUAGGUUGGGACCGGAUGCAUCGGUGCACGCUGGAAACGGUCUAUUCCUGUGUGCAAAUUGCCACUGCACCUUGGAGUCAGAUGCGGGCAUUUCAGUGCACGCGGGAAACUUCUUUUCACAAAUCGCCGGGAAUGCCUGGGAAGGUCCGUUUAUGUGCUCCGACUGCAAGACCAAACAGGACGCAGCAGAAAAGGAUGCCAAACAGGACACGAACCAGGGCAGUGCACCUCAACAACAAGGGGAGACUGGUCUUUCACCUCCUUUAACCUCAUAAAACACUACAACACAGAUUACGAAGGGCAUGACACCAGUACAUGUGCAGGUCCUGCACGCUUACUACGGGCAUGGUUGUGGAUAGAUAGAUACGUCGAGGUCACUAGAUGGUGGCAGUGUAGACAAGGUGAAAGCUCAGAAGUGCAUGUCUGGACACAUCACUGGAAUCACACUGGACUCAAGGGAAAACCAACGAAGGCCACUGCAACGAGGAGUGUGGUCUGAUCCACCAUCACAUUACCAGCACAGACGCUUCGAUGCAUGGUGUGGUGUGGGGUAGGUGGGUCAUUCAAGUCCAGAGCCAUUGCUCCUGGGGCUGAUCCCUGACUAGAUUGGGAGGCAGUGUUGAGGUGCGUGUUGCAGGACCCUUGUCGAUCAGAAACCUGGUGAUGCGUCUGCAGCAAUGCAGCAAUAUUGCAGCGUCAGAAGGGUCUGUGAAGAGCAGGUUUAGGGUGCUCGGGGAAGAUGCGGAGCCACAACUUGGAUGAUGGUUCCGAGGCCGACCUGGUGUGGGAUCCACCAUCACAGUGGCGGUGGUGAUAAUUCUGUGCUGGUAUGACCAGUAAUAUUAAUACUCUUUUUGUACAAGGAGAUUUGGAGGAUGCCGUGUUUGCUCUUCUGGUGGAACGCUUGUUCACCAACUCAGUUAUUAUUUAUAUAUAUAUAUAUAUAUAUACAUACAUACACACAUGUACAUACACGUCUGUGUGUGUGUGUGUGUGUAAUAGUACAAUAGUGCAAUGGUACAGUGUUGAGAAGUUCAGCAAUACUGUAUUGAAAGCUUUUUCUAAACAAAAUUCUUAUUGUGGAUGAAAUUUGGUAUUUGUUGAUGUGAUAAUUUUUGUUCUAUUUUUGUUGCGAAAUAAAACCUUACAACUGCGUAUUUCAGAGGGUCAACUUUCUAAACUCAAAACUGGCCAUAAACUCUUUAAGGUAUUUGAGGUUUCAAAAACAUAUUUUGGAUAGUUGGAAACUGGUCUUUGUAUUUGUGCUUACAUUUGUAGUUGAGUGGAUUGUUCUUGAAAUUAUUCAAAUCAUUUUCAUGCUAUAAGUUUACAAAUGAAUCAACUAUGCACUUUAUGAAAUUAUAAGUCAUGUGUGUUUCAUAAGAUCAUAUAAUGUAUAAACAUAUAUGUAUGUGUAUGAUAAAAUAUAUAACAAAAUAUGCAUAAUACAAAAAUUAAAUAAUUUGAUAUGUUGCAACCAACAUUGGUAUGCUAUUAUGUUGGUUCAUUUAUUAGUGUAUUUUAAUACAUUUGUAAAUAAUCAACACGUGAAGAACCUAUGCAAGAAAAAAUUUAAAAACUUUAGAACUUUAAAACAUAACAAUUUAUUAAAUUCAAGGAUAAUCAAGUGACAUAAAUAAUUAUAUUUCUAUGUAAUUAUGUGUGUGAAAAUAUAUGUGCUAGUUUAUAAAUAUUUGAUAAAUAUACUCAUCAAGCAAUUUUGAAAAAAUAUAUACAUAGUAAGUUUUUAUAGUUAUAUUCUAAAAAUAUUAUGCUAAAGUACAAAAUAAUAAAUCUACAGUUAUAAACUACUUAGAUUUAUUUUUAAAUUAUUUUUCAAAUCAUAUUGUAGAAAUAGUUUAACUUUAAAUGUUGUAGAAGUAUUUUGAAACAAAUCUCUUAAAUAAAUUUCUUGUGGAUUUUAUAAUAAAUUAUGUAAAAAUUUAUGUUGGAGAUAAUAAACUUGAAUUCAAGUUUGUAUGUAUUUUAUUAUAAAUGAACAAAGACUUUAUUUAUUUUAUAAAAUAAGAUAUACUAUAUCAAAAUCUUAUUUAGUAAAUUUUACUACCAUUAUUAUAAAAACUUAAUAUAAUUUUUUAAAUCCAUAUAAUAGUAUUAUUAUGUCUAAUUUUAAAUAUCAACAAUCUAUUAUGUACAAUAGCUAAAAAUUUAUUUAAGGCAUCAUUUAUAUUAAAAAUAUUCAUUGUUAUAAAUAAAAUGAUUAUUUAACAUGUUUUAGAAUCUUUUCUUUUAACAAACACAUUCAAUUUCAUCUAAAAAUCCAUUGGAUGAAUUCAUAAAUUUUUUUCCUUACCUUAUGAAAAAAAUAAAAAAAUAAAAAAUAAAAUUUUAGAAGUUCAUAAUUACUAAAAUUUUAUUUUUUAAUUCUUUAUUACAAAAUAAUUAAUUGCAUAUCAAUAUUUAAGCAUAUGUAAUAUUUCUUUGAUAAAUUCAAUAAAUUAUUUUUUAAUAGUUUUUAAUAAAUAUAAUAAAUUUUACCUUCAUACUUAUAUAUUACAUAAAUUAUACAAUUCUUUAAUAUAUUCAAAUAAUUAAAAUUUAAAAAAUCUAUCUAAAACACAAAAAUAAUUGUUUUGAUUAAACUUAAAAGAUAAUAUGUAUUAUAGAUAUUUCACAAAAAAAACCUAUAUGUUAGAAGAAACAUUUUUUAAAAUGUUAUUUUAAUAUUUAUUUCAAUAAACUUAGAAAUAUAAUAAAGAUAUAAAAAGUUUAUUAAGAAACAAUAUAUAUAUAUAUAUAUAUAUAUAUAUAUAUAAAUUAAAAAAAUUUAAAAAAAAUUAAAUUUUAUUUUAUAUGUGUAUAUGCAUAUAUAUAUAAUAAUAAUAAUAAUAAUAAUAAUAAUAAUAAUAAUAAUAAUAAAUAUCAUUUGACUUUUUAUAAUAAAUUUUAGGUUAAUUUUAAAUUUUAUUUACUUGAAUUAAUAAUUUUAUUACUUUAUUGUCAUUUCAAGUCCUUGUGAAUGCUUGAUAUAAUUCCAAUUAAAUUUUAAAAAUAAAUUCUAUUGAUAUAAAUUGUUUAUGAGCUCAUUGAUUUAUUUGUAAAUAAAUAAAUAAAUAAAAAGAGUUUAUAAUCUUUAAUUAAAUAUAUUUUUUAAUUUUUAUAAUUUAUCUUUAAAAAAAUAUUAUAUAUUUUAUUAAAUGUAAUAAAAGUAAAAGGAUUAUUAAUUUAUAUGAUUAAAAUUAUAUUAGAUUAUUUUCUUUUAAAAUUUGAUUUAUGCAAUUAACACAUAAUGUAAUUUUAUUUUUGUUGAAUACUUUCAAUAUUAAAAAAUACAUAUGAUGUUUAGAUACAAACAUAAUAAGAAUCAAUUAAUUAUAUAUAUAUAUAGAUAUAGAUAUAGAUAUAUACAUAAAAAGUAAAGGUUUUUCUUCUAUAUAUAUAUUUAUAUGGUACUUACAAAGAAUUAAGAAAUUUAGGUUUAAGAAUAUUUUUUAAUUUAUUACCUAAUUUAAUAUAUUUUUAAUAAUACAUAUGUAUAUAUUUAGUUUAUUAAAAUAUUUAUUAAAAUAUACUGACUUUAGUUUCUUAAUCCUAAUGAUUUUCUUUCUCUUAUUUGUUUAUUGAGUUUUUAAAGAAUUUAAUUUACCGCAUUUAAAAACAUCUUGCCUACAAAAUUCUCUUAGUUAAUAGUUAGACACAAGUGAUGUAAAUAAAUCAAAAGUACAAUUUCAUUAGGAAAUGACAUAAUCCAAUAAUAUAGCAAGGAAAUUGAGUGGCGUAGAUGGUACCAAAACAAAAGUGAACACGUUUCAAAGAUUUCUUCCAAACUUGUUGGAGGAUUUUCUCCAAAUCUCAUGAAAUCUUUAAAUAAAUUCUUUUUAGAGGUUAUUGGGAGUUGUAACCAACUUUGUUUUCAAAAAGUGUGGAGAAAACACACACUUCUUUUCCUUUCUAAGACUAUUAUGUUUGCUUCCAAUUAGGCAUGUAGAAAUUUCAAUCUAAUUAUAGGAUUUAAAAAGUAUACUUUUUAUUUGAACUCCCCUUCUUGCUUUCUAGUGCUACAUUACAAGACAAAAUAACAACCUUAGUAUAUUUUAUAUUUUUAAGUUUAGAACUUUGAUUUUGUAGAACUUUAAAGAUUCAGGCCACUUUAAUGAUUCUUUUUUUAGCAUAUUUUAUUUGCUUGUUGAUAUCUAAGUCAAAUUAUCUUGUAAUGCAAAGUUGGCUUUAAAGCCAAGGAUAUUAUAUUUAUAUUAAUUUUUUUAAUAAUUUACUAUAAAAAAAACUUAAGAUAUAUAAUAAGUGUUUUAAGAAAAAUAAAGAAUAAUGUUCCAAUAACCAGGUCUGCCAUGUGAAAGAGAAUUCAACUUGUGGCUUGAUUUGAUAGUAAUUGCUUUGUAGGUUUUUUUUAUUACUAUGAUUGAAACUUGGUUUCUUACAAGAUUUAUUUCUUCUUAUUUUCUAUGUGCUUUGUAUACAUAGUAACAAAAAUAGUACAAAUAUCAUGUCCAAGAUGACAUAGAGAAAUUCAAAGGAUUUAGGAAACAAAUAAAAACAAUCAAACAGAGAGAGAAGAAUAAAUGCUUGUACAUUGGUUAUUUGAUUUUUUGCAACAUGGAUUUCGCUUCUUUAAAAACAAAAAUAAAAACCGAGGUAUUAAUAUUAUCGCUGUUGUUUUCAAUCACUGGCUUUGUUUUAUCGAUUUGAUUAUUAAUUCAAGAUUGAAAUUUGUAUCACGUCCAAAGACUUGCAUCAAAAGUGAAAAAGAGCAAAGACUGAUCGAUGAAUCAUUUAGUUGUAAACCAGAGGUAGACCUUCUAAAAAAAAACAACCUUGAGUUUGAGUGAUACCAUCAGGUAAACAAAUCUUGCAUUAACCAAUGUUCUGCAGAAAUCAGAGGUGAAUGGAAAACUUCCUUUCACCCAAAGGUUCCCCACAUGUGCCAUUCAAAGAAAUGUGACAUGAUAAAAGUACCUACUGGGACUGUAAUCAAGUUUUAACUAAAACAGCACCAUGAGAACUAGAAAAAGAUUCAGUGGGAAAUGUAAUAGUAAUCUGUGGAGCAUAAUCGGAAGUCAUGGUUGAACAAAAGAGAGCCCAACUGGAAGGUGGGGUGGGGGUUUAUUGGAAAAAGUGAGAAAAAAUCAAACUCAAGGUGGAUCACAGCGUCAGUAACUUGCGUGACUGUGUAGAAUCAGCAUCCUUUGAUAUACACAUGUAAGGAUACGCUGAUUAAUGCACUGGAUUACCAGUUUAAGUGGCAAGCAUAAAAAUACAGAAGGGAUCCUGUUUCCGGAGGAGAAGAUCCACCACGCAGUAAAAAAACAAAAAAAACAAAAAAAAAAUUAGUUUGAUAGAAUUGGGUGUAAAACACUCGGAUUGAUCGAGAGUUGCUGUGCUGGGGAAACGCAACGCAACACGAGAAUGCGUGUCGACCGCGACCGACAGUAUUGAGAACGCAUCCCGAUCCGAAGGGUGGUGGUGAUAAGUAGCAACAUCCACACAUGAUACAUAUAAACCUUUGAACUAGAAGUGGAGGCCCACUCUUGAUCACUUUGGAUGCAUGCUCUGGUUUUGUCGACGGUCCAGUUUAACGGACACUGCUCGAGUCGCUUUCCUUCACUGCGCUCCUCCUCCACACAGACUGACAGUGAGAGUUCAUUUGAACUAGUUAGUGCAUGUCGAGGAAGGGUUGCCGUCGAGAGAAAUACUCCCCAUAGUCACCUGGAGUGAUCCAGUUUCUAUCGACUAAUUUUGAUGGUGUUUGUUAUGGAGUCACGCAUGAUUGAAGCCAUCAAGUACAAUGUGUUUUGUGUGUUGCUGGGGACUGCUGCCUGCACACUAGGAUGUGGUGUAGCUUCCGUUCUCCUGCUGAGCUUAUGAGGGAACUCAUUGUCUCCUAAUGUUUGCUUAACCAUCCCGCUUGAGCAUCUAGAGUGUUGCAUGCGGGUCACCCAGCGAAUUCUUCGCCCACGUUUUUCCUCAAUUCUAGGCAUACUAGUAUGUCUGUUGCUCACCUCCUCCGUGGAUCGAUCUCUACUCUGAGAAUCAUUAAAGCUAGUGCACAGUAAACUUCAUUUCUGUCUCGUCUUAGAUGCCUCGGGAUACGAUCUGCAUAUUCCGUGUAUAGCGUUGGUUCCAAGCACGUUUGAGUGUAAUAGAGGAGGUGAUUCAGCAUACGCAGGGUGUGCAUUAGACUGGAGUAAUUUCACAGAUUCUGCUAGCGUCCAUCGAUUGGUCUGUUCCGUGACUGCCGUAGGAAAGAUUGUGAAGAGUUUGGGGCGCAUUUCGAAUGAUGGGAACUGGGCACAUAGCUGUCCUACUUCCUGACCAAGAGCACUUGAAGCGAACUCGCCCUUGGGGGGGGAACAUCAUGCAUGAGCCAGAUGUUAAAGGAGGAGGGGAUGUACCGUACUGGAGAAAGAAAGUGCUCGUAACCAAUACUGACGCCACAGAUUCGUCGGGAGAUGCAAGCACAAGCGAGCAGUGGCCACCGCGAUCCUACAUGUGCAAUUUCUGCCGACGAGAGUUUCGCACUGCGCAAGGCCUGGGAGGGCACAUGAAUGUGCACAGGCGAGAGAGGGCACAGGCAAAUCAAUUGGCGCACCUAACAAACAGCAACGAAGCACUACUCGCUAGCACAAACUCGCAGGAUGCCAACAGUGCGACGUGCAUGCAAGGAGAAUGGAAACGAGGAUAUUACAAUUAUCUAAAUGGCGCCCCACUCUCCCAGCAAGCAUCCACUUUAUCUUCGAACCAACCACUCGGCGGGAUAUUACAUUCGUCUGAGAAACCUGGUGACACUGUCGACCUUGAGCUUCGACUUGGUCAGAAAUCUGAUUAAAUUGCAUUAUUAUUCGGCUUCUGUAGAGCAUGAACAACUCAAUGUUACAGAUAGCGGACUUGACCGUGCAGAUCGCCCCGUCGGUCCAUGUUUACAAAUUGCUACAGUUGUAGCGCAUUUGUCUCCUUCCUUGUAAGGAAUCUUUGGGUUCGUGAAAUUUGGCAGAAAGCUUUAGCUUCAAUGUAGUCUAAACCCUCAGUGUUGUGAUCACCUGUCAUCAAAAGAUUUCCAGAUCAUGGUUGUUAUGUACAUAAAGUAAGAAGAAAGCAUCUGCAACAGCGCCGAUCUCUCUUGUAAUUGGUUGGAGAGUAUUAGACAAGAGUUGGAUUGAGCAAUGUUCCCACCUCGAUCCAAAUAGUUAUGGCCGGCUUAUAGGGCCUACUCUGCCUUAAAAUUGCUUCUAUACAUGCAGAUUAUAACAGUUUUUCUUGUUAUAAGUUUGAGAUCAGCGCCUGUCAGUAACAAGAAAGCAAUGUUUAUAGCCUUAGUUCCUUCAAAAUAGUCUGUAGAAGCUCUAAGUUGUGGAAUCUGAUUUUGUAUUUGGAUGACUUAUCAUUGCAUUAAUGAGUUCAAUAUAAUAUGAUUGCGAGAAUUGAACGAUCGUGCAAGAGAACAUGGACCUCUUUCGGUUCGCAGCCGUUGGAAGCCUUAUGUAGAGUCUCCCAAGGCUGGUCCAGUCCCCAGACGCCGAAUCUCAAAGCUUCGUCAUGAAGAAAAACUUUCCUUUCAGAAAGUCAAUUAACGGUACUAUACCAUGGGACAGUACAGUGGUAUAUUCUCCCAUCAAUAAACUUUUCUCUUAGGGUCAGGUGUACAGAAAAUGAUGCAAUCACUGACAAUUUUUGUCAUCUCUCGCGCAACCAUCUGUGCCGCUGCCUUCGCCAAAUCAGGAUUUUGCCCUUGGGCUGAGCUGCAAUGUUUUGGGGGCAAGCGUUCAGUUCCGAAACAGCUUCGUCGACAGAAACCCAGUCAAUGGUUGUCACAGAUUUGGAGGACUUGCGAGGAUCCAGUGGUUGAUCCCUUCACUCCUGCAUGUUACCGAACAUCGAGCGGGGAGUAUUGAACCCUAAACUGCCAGUUCAUCACUUGAUCUCGCCCUUACUCCUUCCAAGUUCCAAGCAUCACAGCCUUGCCAAUGCAGCCAAACACCCAAGUCGUGAACUGACCUCGUUGUUGUAGUAGUAGUAGUUGUUGUUGACGAGAUGGCCUUCGGUUUCCAGGGCACAGGCCUAUCCGAUGAACGGAGUUGUUUUCGGCGCACUGCACUGCCUAAUUUAGCUUUUGCAACCAACUUGACGAUCAGCCAAAAGUUGAUACGCUGGAACACCAUGUCUCUGCUCUGGCCGCAUGACUUUUUUUGGAUAAGGAAGUUGACUCUUCAGAGCAGACUCUGAAAAAUGACUGGAUUUGUAAACUACCCAUGACGUCGCGGGAGGACUUUCUCCGGCGUAGGUAUGUCUAUGCUACUGGAAAUAUUAGGUGCACCUUUUAAAGGCUCCAAUGUACUGUCCAUCCUGGAGAAAAGGUGGCUAAUAUUCCUGCAUUUAAUGUCUGGCUUUAGUGGAAUAAACAUUCCCUUGGGUGGAAAAAUAAAGAACAAAAUCAUGCUUGAUCGCAAAUUCAAUUCUGUUCUUUUUGUGUGUGUGUGUGUUCCACUCACUGGCUGUGGAAUUAGAACGUUCAUAUUCAGUUCCAAAAUAAAAGAGACUUGUAAAAGAUGUGCAUGCGCUCAUGAGUUUGAGGAUAAGAAUGCACUGGGUCCACAUGCUUGGAAGUUUUUUGACCAACUUCAAGCACUUCAUGCAUGAAUACUUCUCACUACGUUUCUCUUAGUGUUUUCCAAAAUAUCGAAUUAUAUAUAUAUAGAUAUGCAUAUACUGAAAUACAAAAACAAAAACAAGACAUACGUGUGCAUGUGUGUGUAUAUAUAUAUUUUAUUUUAUUUUAUUUUAUUUUACUUACUUAUUCAUUUGUUUGUGAGUGUGUGAUUUAAUAUGUAGGACAUGAUGACUUUCAAGUAACAAAACUAUUAUAUUUUAGAGCCAAGCCUGUUUGAUGUUUUUGUUCUUCUUAGACAAUAUUCUUAUCCACUGUUUUUAAAAUUUGCUGCAAGUAUUCCGAUGUAAAACAUUCUAAAGUUAGGAUUAUGAUGUAUACUUUUCAUACUUCCAAAAAAACAAAAUUAAAAACACAACAAAUUGAUAAAAUAAAAAAGGAAGAGGAAAUAAAACAAAACAAAAAGAUCAAUAAAUCUCGUGGUUGUAGCAGUCUCACAGCACUAGCAAAACAUGGGCAUUCCACAUCGCAAACACAAUAAUAUGCAAACGUAAUGAUGGUUGCACUUUCCCGAUGUGGCGAGAGCAGGCUGUCAACCCACAUUGAGAUAAGUGCACAGUGCAAUUAUAUUUGUAAAGAAUUCUGCAAUGCAUAUCAGAAGGAACUCUCCUCCCUGCAAUCAAAAGUAUAGGGUGCCAUCAUGACAACCGGCCUAGACUGAGCAUGGCUGAGGGACCGUAAAGGACCCAAUAGCCAACCCAUGAGCGAGACCAUGUCCAAAGGGGGCUAGAAAUAAGCUCGCAAAAUCUGAUUGUGAUGAUGGCCUUGACUGCCUGUUUUACUGGUUUCACGCAUGAUGGACGACGCAGCGCGCGGCGCUCUGCCUCCUUCAGCUUCGACAAUUUUCGAAGUGGUGCCGUCGCUGCGGACGCACCCAAUCAUCAGGAUGGUGCUGAACUCAGGACUAGAUCAAUGGAGUGCCACACAACUGCACAGCGAGCGAGAGAGAGGGGGGGGGGGGGUGGGGGGCAAGCUCCCGGCGACUCAUUCCCGCCGCCCCUGUCGUCUCCGGCUGCUAGAUCUCUAUGCACGUCACUUGGUGUUGCAGCUCGAGACUCGGUGCAAUCUGACAGGACCGACUUGGUGACAUUCAUUCUUUUGCCGUAGCUUCGGAUGCGGUGCUGAACCCAGUCUUUACUGCGUUGGAAGCUUUUGAGUUUCGUCGGGUGAAAGUGGCGGGGGUUUAUUUUUGCCUGGUUCAAAGAUGCGUAGUAGUAUUGAUCUCAAGCUGUUCGCAAACUUUUUUAUUUAUUUAAUAUUAUUUUUGUCUCAUUCGCACAGUUAGCAGUGCAGAAAGAAUUUAUUUCGUCUGUUACGUGGGGCUUCUGGUGGUCAUGUGAUUAGACUACGGCUUGUACUGGGAAUGCGUAGACGUGAAUAACUAAAUUUCUUCAGAUCUGAUCUCCAUCAUGUUUGUCUGUCAGCAGUGCAUUUGGACUUUGACGUGCUACUGUAAUUUCCUCCAUCUGCUGCUGCUGCUGCUAAAGGGAUCGGGACUAUGACGUCGCUCCAUGGAAUAAUUUAUCAAACCAGCUUGGCUGAAAGGACAACGAGGGAUUUCUCUUGAAAGCGAGACACCCGCAGAAUGGUUGACGAAGUAGUAAUUAAUACAGCUGCUAUCUGAUGUGAGAGAGAGAUAUAUACGCAGCCAGUAAAAAAAACAGAUCAAAUUUAGCAGAGUACUGGACGUGGCUGUAUGACACUGCAACAGCUUGGUGGAGAAAGAUAUUACAAUAUCCAGCUGAUGAAAUCCCGGAGAAAUUAAGUUGACCCGUAUCAAUCAUGUUCCCCUCUCAAUCCCUACAGCUGGUUUACCUGACAUGAGAUCUGACCCUUGCCUUUUCUUUCUUAGGUAAGCUAAUGAGUUAAACAUCUCUCUUUCCAAAAUAAAAAUAAAAAAAUUGUUCCCCUAAUGCACAACAUAUAGUGAAAUUUUUCAACAUGAUGUUCCUCGAGCAACGACUGACAGUUACAAUUAUCUACAAGUAUCACUUGACCAUCAUUCGAGCGAUCCCACUAGCAUGAAGAGUGACAUCAUAUGCGCGACUUCUGGUUCAGUCCUGUGAGACACAACGUCUGAAAGCUACUUUGAAAUUCGAAGUUUGAGAAUGUGGAUGACUAUGAACAAACAUAUACAGCCAAAGUGGCAGGACCAGAUGCAUUUGAGUACAUCACUCAAAUUAUUCUUUGCAAUCAUCAGCGUUGUAGAAGAAAUAUUGAGGCCUCCUGCCUGUGCCAGCUUGCACAUCUUCAAUUUUGAAACCCUUGUAGCCAGAUUCAGUUGUCGUUGCAAGACAAACUUCAAGCAUUUUCUUCAACAACUUCCUCUGUUUUAGGUAUGUUUGGUCUUUGAACUCAGCUAUUGGCAUCCACUGUACGUCACAAAUGGGAAGGAACCGUUACAUGAGUCACAUCUCUUAAUGUGAGCUAAGCAACAAUGAAGUGAUAAGAUAUGCAAAUUUAUGAAGAUAAUUGAAACUUUGAAAGGACGUUUGAACAAAUAUAUUACACCUUGACAGCGGUCAAUUCACUGUCCUGAACAGUAAUUUCGGAGGUGACUGGUCGGAGCACACACAAGAAGAAGAUAUCAGAUUUUCCAAAAGCCGCAGCAUGUGAUUGUCUGAUAAGCAAACACCGUGACGACUGGUUAGCCCAGAAAGAGACGACGCGGCGCAAUUAUGAAAGCCACGAUUUUCACUGUGAAAUUCAGUUGGGUUCGAAAAGUCGAGUCAUCUACAGCAUGUGGAAAUGUUGACUAUUGGGAGGGUUAAUAUACCUGAAUCCGAUGACAUCAACGAACUCCGUGUCAACCUGCAAAAUGAUGCAUCGACGGGAAUUUUAAACCUCUAAGCGUCAAAGCUUACCAUAAAGAACUUAUUCGAGAAUAUUGAGUACAGUCCUCUAAACUUUUUAACUGCUCCGUAUUCUUAUAUUUGAUAAUCUGAACAAUGGUCAUGUGGAAGUCAAGCCGAAACUUGGAAACAAGAUUUUUGCUUCUGAACGUUUUCUGUUUUGGACAACUUCCAUGCAUCAAUGUAGAGAUCUAAUCAGGAAUUAUACCCCAGUUUCCUCCUUGACCUCUCGAAUUGCGCCAGAAAAGAUGUCCUCACCCUGCUUAUUGAAAUUUGGAACUCAGAAAUUAGAAUCAUUAAGCUUUGCUGGAAGUCUACUGUGCAUCUACUACGGGAAUCCUCAUGCAACACAAGAUACAGUACCAAAAAGUUGUCUCGAGAAGAACAUAAUAGGAGAUAUGAACCGGCAGAUCUGUCGGACGUUGACAAACCUGGUUGACUGAUCCUGUGGGCAUCUUCCAGAUUCCAGCACCUUGGAAUACUCCACUCCUCUCUUGCACAGCUAGAAUCUGCAAUUCAAAAAGGCGCCGCAAACAAGAUAUAUCAUGUUCGUUAUAACAGCUUGUAGGCUUAUGUAGCACGUAAGAAGUGAACUUUGUUGCUUGUUAACACAUGAUCUCUAAUACUUGUUAAUGCUUGUUGAUACGUUUCUGAUGGUGGUGGUUUUAUCCAUUUCACGAAGAGACAGAUCUGAAAGUGGUACCUCUUGUUUAUCGUUCAAUAUAAAUGCACCAAUUCCAACUUGGUGUGAGGCAUUGGCAGGAACUGUUGAUUGUUCUUUAGAUAGCCAAGUGACAAGCAUCACAUGUGUGGGCUCCGCAUGAUGGUAUAUGAAGCCGGCCUAUAAAAGGCACAGAUGACACAUUCUGGUUCUCAUUAGCAUUCUUGAGUGUGAGACUUGCUACUGAAAUCACGGAAUGUUUAUAUCAGAACUGGUGGAAAUAACUCAUCUCAUUUAUGUUGCAAAGCCAAAAUUAAAUCUCUAACCCAAAAAAAGUCAUGCAAUAAACAGGUACCUUAAUUGCAGGAUCCACCAGGUAGCUGUUUUCAAUAGUCAGCUUCAGCCAAACUGCUUUUUUGCCCUGGAAAAUUUAUUAAUUGCAAAAGUAACACGUUUUAUCAGCCCUCAAUAGACUUUGUCUAGACCCAUCUUGAACAUGAGCUUUCAUAGAAGUUUUGGUUCUCCUUGUGUCCUUCAGCAUUUCCUGAAAUCUGGAGAUCAGAUAUACACACGAUUCUUUCUGCUUGGUUCAAAAGCAAGUGUUUAGUUACCUGGGUUCUCCAUUGUGCAAGAGAAUGAUUCAAGCUAUCAACAAAGACGGACGUAUUCGUCGGUAAGCUUUCGACGUCGAUUACGAGGCCGCCAUAUUUGUCCUCAGCAGAUAUCAAAGUCUGAACUGGUUGAUCAUUCAUCAAUGUAUCCAGUUGGCAAGGAAAUGAGCUGGAACGGGCCAUUCUGAAUCAGGUGCAAGUAAGACAACGAGUUGUUCUAAAUGAUUGAAAUGAAUAGACAACCUUCGCGCACCAAAACUGCACUGAUAUUCUGUCAACGUCCACUAGUUCGAGGGAAGUGAGAGUAGGCUCGAUUAGCUUCUGCAAAUACCAAUGAACUGACUGUGAGACCACGAUGGGAUCGUGCAUUCAAAGACAGGCAACUGACAGUCAACGCUGAAGUAAUCAAAUUCAGUAGCUAGGCAUUGAUCAAUGACAAACGUCAUGGAAACCACUGGAUUUCAAAAGUUCACAAUAUGGAUUCAAUUAACACCUCAUAGAAGUGCAAGUUACUAACGUGACUAUGAUACGAAACAUCAGAAGCAUGGUCGCAAUAAGUGCAGGUACUGCAGUUACACCUGUUAAAUUGCAAACAAUCCCAGUGAAGACGCCAAUUAGAGCAAGAGAGCUUUGAUCGGAUUAUUAUCUUGUCGGACAGACCUCCCACAGUCAACACUCCAUAUGGCCUGGUUACUAAGGCCGACAAAAUCGAAUCUCCGCAGCUGAAUGAGCAACUUUCGAAUGCCGACGAAAGCCUGGAAAUUCUGAACAAUCACCUAUCGUAGACUUUCCCAAAUCUCGUGCCAGCCUUUAUUUACAUUUCCAGCGCGAAAUCCUCGGAUUACAGGCCAGUCGGCGCUCACACUGCGCAGUACAAUUAACUGGAUGCAGAGGGUAUUAGGUCACAGAAUCGUCAGUCCAUGCGACCCUCCGCUUUCUCUGACUGCAUCAAAAUCACCUUAAUGUCAAAACAGCAGAAAGAGUAAUUAAUUCGCUCUCUUUUAAUGCUUAACAGUGGGCAACGGUAGGAGAUCCUACCACCCGCUGGUUAUCAGAGUCGGAAUUGGGCAUAUCUGCAGUCACAUCGGCUGGGCUGCCACCAUUUUGGGACUUCCCGCACAAACGUGAUGAAAACCGCACAGAGAGCUGCACCAAUUGAAUACUGUAAAAAAAAAACGGGAUCACCGCCGUCGGCAACACUGUGUGAAAUAGAAGGUUCCCUAAUUCCGAAUCCUGCAACGUUGCGGCCUCUAACACGACGCCGUCUUCGAUCCUCUUCCCGUCGUUCCAGAGAGGCCUUGGCCUUCCUGGAUCGGCAACGCGGUGCGACCGCGCCAAGCAAAAGCCUCGUCGAGCACGUAAUUUGGCUGAGGCCCUGCUUCGGGGACGGAUACACAGAGCCGCGACGGAGCUACUCGGACGAGGAAGCGUGGCUUCCUUCCGCGCCAAUCCAUCCAGUCAUCUCGCGGCACGGACCCACUCCCGAAAACGUAAACGUAAAAGCGUAGAAAGCCACACCUGACUUUUCUUCAUCAUUACUCGGCUUUUUGGAUCGCCAUGAAAGUUUUAGAAAUAUCAAAAUGUUAUAGAACAAAACAAACCAAACCAAUUGGUUAUCUUGUGUAAGAUCGAAUGAAUGUAUCUUUCCUCCUUUAUUUGUAAAAAUAUACAGAUAUUUACUUGUGUAAAAUAAAAAUAAAUAGUGUUUGCCAACAAAAAUCACUAAAUUGGCUGAAGAUCUUAGCACCAUUUAGAAUCACAAAUUUAAAUUAUUUAAAAUCAGUUCUACUUCCCCUAGAAUUGUCUCCUUGCUCCUAGCCCAUGUCCCCAUCUUAACCCUCCCAUCCCUCAUCUCCCUUCACAACCCCUAUCUAGAGUGCUUUUGUGUUUGGUUUAACCUUCUUAGAUUAAAAAAAAAAGGAUUACCAACUUGGUAAAACAUAUUCUAUUAUGUAUAUAUAGAUUACUUAAAAUCCAUUAUUAUUUGAAUUGGUUAUGGUAUAAUGAUACUCAUGCCAUAAAUAAGAAGUUGUGAAAUACUAAAGUAAGAUUUUAGAGUUUUGAAAUAUCUUUGUUCAUUUAUUUUUUUUCAAAGAUAAGUGACUAAAAAAUAUGUUUUAAUUGAUUUCCGAUGUACAUAUUCAAUGCAAUAACUUUCAUAAUUUUAUCUAUUAAGUUUUUUAUUUAAUACAUCUUCCAUAUAUAUUUUGUAUGAAUUUGGGUUUUUUAUAAUAAAUAAAUUAAUGUAAAAAUAAUAGUAAAUUGAUUUAAUAAACUUGGUUUAUUUAUAUGUAUUCAUAUGUUAACUUUAUUAUUUGAGAAGGUUUAAAUUACAAUAAAAACUCUAUUCUCAACCAAAAAUAUAUUGUAAAACUUUUGAAGAUUAAAAUAUUAUUUUAUAACUUUUUUAUGCUACAUUUUCAUCACAAAAACAUCUCUAUUAUAUACAAAGAUCAAUGAUUUAAGGUUAUUGCAACAAUUAUACAAUCCUUUAGUGUGCUAAUAGAUUUUCUCUAGUAGAUAUAUAUAUAUAUAUAUAUAUAUAUAGAAAGUGGUUUUUUGUCCUAGUAUUUGUCUUUAUUGUUUGUGUAUCUCUCUCUCUAUAUAUAUCUAUAUAUAUAUAUAUAUAUAUAUAUAUUAAUAGCUUUAUUACAAUCACAUUAUCUUAUGAAUUACUUACAAUAUCAUUUUUUUGUGAUGAUUUUUUUAUUGUUCAUGAAAGCUUCGAUGGUAUUUAAGAAGGGAAUAAUAAAAAAUGGAUAUGUAUCAGAUAAAAAUCUUUGUGCUUUUGAGCUUGUUGUUGACUAAAAGUAUAUAUGGUUAUGACUGAUACUCAGAAUCUACUUCAGAUGAUUCUGAGUAAAAACAUGUUUGAUUCUAAUUAAUAUUAAUAACACCAUUGAUUUUAUUUUAUUUUGAUUUUUUACUGUACGAAAAUUAUAACAUUUAUUAAUUAACACAUCAAUAAACUUGACAUUAGUAAUAAUUACUCGUAAAGAAAUUUUAAAAUAAUUAAUUUCAGAUAUUAUUUUUUAUGCAAUUAUAAACAACAAAAGAUAUAAAAUAUAAAAAAUAAAAAAUAAAAAAUUUAUUUCUAUUAACUAAGCUUGCAAGUCAUUUUCUUUUGGAUCUAUAUCACUUUAUCCGACAUCUUUAUCUUAGCUUAAAAUUCUCAACAAUUUACUUUUUAACUUUGUCUUUUGUAUUUUAUUUAAUAUUUUAUCAACAAUCUUAUUAGUUUCAUAUAUUAAAAAAUAUUAAAACUAUAUCUCUUAUUAUUAUUUAAGCAUAGUAAUUUUUCUAAUUAAAAUACAACAUAAUUUCUAGAUUUUAAAAUUUAAUUAUUUUUUUGACAAAAAGAAACCUACAAAAGAUUAUAUUAGAUGUUUAUAGAUGUCUCAUAAAGAAGAUCUAAAACAUCUCUAAUAAUAAUUAAAAUGGGCAAAUAAAAUAAACAAAAUAAUCAUAAAAUAAGUAAUUUAUUUCCUAAAUGAAAUAGAUUUAGUUCUAUUAGAAAAAAAUAUUGGAAAAAUAUCAUAUAUAUCCUUCAAAUAUGCUGAAAUAUCAAAAAUACCCUUGUAUUCUUGAUUAUAUAAAAUAUAUCCCUCAAAUUUGUGAUAAUAGUAAAUAUAUCCUUAUUAGUGAUAAGGUAUCACCAAUAUUUCUUAUUUAUUUAUUAUAUAGGAUCUAGACCAUAGGUUGUGCACCUUUUCAACUUUAUAAAAAUUGCAAAAAAAUUAUCUAUUUUUUUUUUUUCUAUCAAUUUUCAGACCACUCCUCAUAUUAUAGAUUCUUAGUGGCGCCAUUGCUCCCAUCUCUCUUGCAACACUUUUUACCAUACAACUAAUCUUGUCUGCAUUCCACCAUUUCAAAUCUUCUCAAUUCUUCAUGCCUUCAUUCCAAUCUCCUUUACUUUACAAAAUCAACUCCUUGACGUGCUCUUGCACUUGACCAAGCAACUGGUCAAGCUACAUCCAAAGCUCCCUCAAAAUACUACUUAAGCUACUAAUUCACGAGCCCAAUAGAAGAGAGACUUGCCAAAAGUGAAGAUAUUUCAAUAGCUAAAUUUAAUACAAAAGAAUAGUUUUGAAUUAGUGAUGCAUUGCCAUUAACGACGAUUGGAGUUUUGCAACAAGUUUCAAUUGAUGUUCAAAGUAAGGAUCACAAGAAUGAUGGUGUAGAUGAAGGCUUAGGUCAUGGUAGCCAAAAAGUUGUAUAAUUUGAAAGAUAUUACAGUCAUAUGGAUAGAAUUUCAAGCAAGAUGACAAAAGAAUUUGAGAUAGGAACUUGAAGUUGAGUUGGCUAGUUUAUAAGACAUUUCAAAGGAAUAUCUAAAGGCUUAGAAACAAAUUUUUAAUUCAUUCAACUUUAUAGAGCCAUUAUAUUCUUUAAGCAUUUCUAUCAUGGACACAAACAACAUUAUAGCUUCUUUAUCAAUUAAGGCUACUUUUUAAUUUAAUAUAUUCUUAGAUGGGUAAAAAAUGUUACAGUUGUUAUUAUAUCCCUCUGAUAGAAGGUCUCUUGCCAAAGGCACAAUUUUUAGAGUAAUUAAAGAGCAAGCCAAUGACUCAUACUUUGAAAACAAGUUGCAAUUGUUGCCCAUGGGUUCAAUGCCAAAGACACAAUUCUAAGAGUAAUUAAUGAGCACCAUAUGACAUUGAUGAUAUGUAAAGGCUAAGCCAUUCCUGAAAUAUAGAGUAGUAGAAGCAUGAUAUUGUGAGAAUACAAGUUUAUAGAACUAAAUGCAUCCAAACUAGCAUCUAGGCAAGCAAACUUUCUUUAUUGCUUGGAUGAUGAUGUGAGCUUGUAAUAUUGACAAAACACUCCAAAAGUGAGCCUCUUUAGUGUUUGUAUUCUAUGUUGAAAAGGGUACGAGCAAAAUCUAUGCAUCUUAUGGUCUAGGCCCCAAAUAAUGACUAAAUAAGGAAUGUUAGUGAUACCUUAUUACUAAUGAAGGUAUAUUUCCUAUUAUCACAAAUCUAAAAGAUAUUCUUGAUAUUUCAAUAUAUUUGAAGGAUAUAUAUAAUAUUUUUCCGAUUUUUUUCAUUGCUUACUAAUUUUUUAAAUAGAACAAAAUUAAAAGCAACUUUGUUUUGUUGUAUGUGCUUCUUAUAACAUUCUCUACAUAUUAUGAUAUGUCCUCAUCUUUUUGCCUUAGGAAGUUAAAUUACUUUGUGAACUGCAUUGUGGCACUAAGAAGAGUGAAGCAAGGAGAAUGGAUGGUUGAAGUUUUAACAGAUUUUAACAAAGAAAAUGAAGAGGCCAAGGAUAAAAUGCUGACCCAAACACCUUUGAUGAAUAUGGCUUCCUAUUGAGAUAGGAGGAUGAAUAUCAAGUAAAGGCAUUUCUAAUGGACAGAGAGGUUGCUAGCUCUAUUUAAAGCUACCUCCAAAAUCGUCUUUACUUGAGUCAAUUCGAAUGUGGAUAAUAAUAAAUAAAUAAAAGUUAGUGAAGGCAAGCUUUCCUUUAACCUGCAAAAUUCUAAUUCCAACGAUUCCAAAAUGCUCAAAGAGACACUAUAAAGAUUCCCUAUGAACUCUCCUCAUUUAACACUGAGAUCUAAGUCAUCGGUCUCCCAUUUUUCUAAUACUUUCUCACCCACCAAUUUCUCCUUGACUAAACCCCCACUGUGGCAUGCAAUUGAAUAUAUAUAUAUAUAUAUAUAUAUAUGCUGAUAGAUUGGAAAACUGAGGAUACCGUUGAGAGUGAAUAGAAACGAAACAAUGGCGUGCACAAGUUCACAUUUAGGUUGAUUUCACGUGCGUCGUUAAAGCAACAUGAAAUGGCAACCUGGGGUGGGGUAGGACCAGCAAGAGCACAAGCCAACUCCACUAAGUCCAAAAGUAGCGGCACAGCUACUUUUAGAGCUCAUAAGUCGGCGCAACGCGCAUCGAUAGCUCUGCAGCAGUGCGAGUCACCGGGAGGUGGAAGAUGCAGCACGAGUCCUGUGCAUGCCAGAUGGCAGAUCCCGGCAUUGGUCUUUCCACCUCCGCGAGUGGUCUUCACCAGACUCAUUGCAUGUCUGCAGCCUCCGACUUUAUCUCUGCAAUUCUCCAUUGAAAACUGGGCUCUGGUGUCUACCUGAACCUAGAUUCAUCAGUGUGCGUGUCGGUAACGUUUAGGUCCACCGAUUGCAGGCAGUCGGUGCUGUGCUUAGUUGAUUGUUUUUCUUUGUGAGCUGCAGCUUGGUGAAUCAUGAGUUGCGGUGUUGCAGACUUAAUGGAUUCUGUGCUUUCACACGGUAUCCAUACUCCGUUUUGUCGGUGGUCAUUGAUUACGGCGUUUGUUUCUAGUUGCGCAUGAGUAUCUCGUUGCUAGUCGGGGUCACUGUUUGGUUCUUCGGGUUUGAGCUUCGUCUUGUCUCAAGUGGCUCAGUAAGAGUGAUUCUCGUGUGGCACGGUGGUUCGGAAUGUUGUUUUUGUGCAGCAACUGAGAAGUUGUGGAGGAUGUGUUGAUGCAAUUGUACCGAGGAGUGUGGUUACGUUCGUGAUUAGAAUGGCAGUCUAACUGUAAAGUGCAGAGGUGGUGAAAAAAUACAGGUAAUCUUGUUUCUGGAGUUCAUUGCCUGGAGGUAAGAAGGCAACCUUGGCUGCGUCAUUGUGAACUUCCUCAGAUUGACCUCUCAAGAUGUCCAUACUAAGAAUCUUCGGUGCUAUGUUAAGGAAUUGAGGAGAUGGGUGGUUUCAACACCCAGGUAGACGUUAGGAUAAGAGCCCAUUUGUUCUUUGAUUAUUGAAAGUGUGGUCUCAUUUAUUCAAUCAUCUCGUCUGACAUUUGUUAGUUCGAAUCUGCUCGAAUUGCGUUUUCAUUUCUGGGUUAACUCCUUAAAUUAUCAUUUGCAGCCUGGAAAGAAGGCUGUAUGCAAGAAGCCACGAAUACAGGACCUUCAAUUCUCCAACAAUCUACAUGACUUCAACAGUAUUAAUAGGUUUUGCAUGAAGAAACAUAUCGCAGCAUCUCUUUGGAACCUCAGGUUUGAUGCCUCGGUUCAAAUAUCUGUCUACAAUGCAUGAAAUCAGAGAUUAGCGCUCUGAACCAUGAGUUGCUACCGAUAGGCUUGUAUGUAGUGUGUUUGCUACCUCGUGAUGCUUUUAUCGGACUGGAUUGUGCGACUCAGUCUCAAAUGCAAUGUGUAGGAUGGGUUUAUUCUACAUCGGGGAGGGUUUUAUACGACAUGAUGCUCUUAAAUAGCCUUUCAUCUACUCUUCCUGCCAAUGCCCCUCACUCAGUCCGGGCUGGCUCAUACGUCUCGAGUGAUCAACAAGGGAUGAUCAAAUUACCUCGUUCAGUACUUUAAUGAAAUAGCAUUGGGUCCAGCAGUAUUCAUUCUCGUGUUAAUUAAGUGUUAGCUUGCAAGCUGGAUGUUUCUUCACUGUUAAGAAGUCAGCGGUCUGCAUAAGCGAUAAAUCAGUGGACAAGCAUAGUGUUCCUCAUGCAGGUCAUGGCCGUGAAAUAGAGGUGUAGCCAUAUAAAUGACAAGCAAAAGAUUCCAACAGGAAUUGUCCAUGAGGUGUGCAAGGAAAGUGAGCAUUUUCACCAACCAUAGUGAUCGACUCUCACGUUCUACGAAUCAAUCAUCGAUCUGCUCACGAGACGAAUUUAGCCAGUAAGGGACCUUCUUUCUCCAAGUAAAGUAUCCAGAGAACUAAGCAGCCGAUGAACUUCAUGUAUUUCUCAAAUUACAGGGCGUAGAUUUCUUCGCAGGAACCAUUCGAGGGAUUAAGGAGCACCUCUUAAACUGCCUAAUCCACAAACAGUGACGUAUCCUUACAUAUUGCAUUAGUGGUCUCCUUGCAAGUCCUGGUGCUGAGUGAGAAUAUCUCAAUGAUGCAGAUAUAUUCUAAAUUUGUUGCGGUAGCUAAGUUCAGGUGUUCCAAAUCCCAGUACAGAAGCAAAAUCUUCCAUCACACGCUGUUUGCAAAAAGUCGAUUGAAGUGGAUCGGAGGGUCUAGAGUAAUGAUGGGGAUUCUUACAAGGAGAAUUCUUCGGCGAGGAAAUCAGACAAGUUGUUCUUACGUUCCCCCUCUCCACUAACAUCCUCCAUCUCUCUGCAGAAGGAGGAACAGGUCGACAUCAAGGUACUUUGUCAGUUGUGUUUCUUUUAAUCAAUUAGCGGUCCUGCCAUGUUAAGGUUUAAUCUGCGACAUGCGAUGAUUGCUGUUUCAGUUCACAUCCUCGCGGUGUGGUAUUUGUCAGUUACGACUCAGCGGGUGUCAUUGAUUUAAUUCCAGAACAAGAGUUACAUGGAUGUGAGCGAAAUCCUCCAGAAGGUGCUGGAUGAAUGCAUUGAAAUAACGCAAGUUCUUCAGGGAAAACGAGCCAUCCCAAUCCUUCCAGCACAACUACAAUGAGUGAGCUAUCUCGUAUUUCGCUGCAGUCCGUCCAAAUGGCUCAUGUGAGAGCAUUUCAAUUUGUGCACCCUGUCAGAAUUAUACAGUUUUUCGAGGUAGAAAUCAAGAACGCUACUUCACAAACGUCUUGCAAAUGACACUGGAACCCUCGACGUUAAUAUCGUCAUCAGAACAGCCUCUUCGAUGGAGCUGGAUGCAACGAAAACAACUAAAUAUAGAAGAAAACCUACUGUUCAGUUGAGUGAAUCAGAUAUUUCUCCAAUGCAUAACACUUCAAAUUGGAUUAGAAUGCAUAUUGAGGUGACAUUUUCAAAAGCGAAAUCCUGGUGUAAGUUCUGACUCUCAGUAGCAGUGUGUUGGUUGAAAGGGGUCGCUGAAUUCCAGGCAUUCCAUGGAUAAAUACACUGUUGCAAACUUGUAAUGAGAUUUGAUCUUCGGACCAGGGACUGUUAUGCAUCUUUUGCUAUUUUCUCCAACGCUUCAUCAAAAGACUUGCCAUCCACGCCAUAGAAUUCCAAACACCACCAGUAAUAACUUCAUGCAACUACUUCCGUAAAAUCUCUUCGAGUGAGUUCCAGGUGGUGCCUGUCUUUUGUUGAUGUUGUGGGAUUGACCAAUAUGUUCAGAGCGGUAUCUACAGGCGCGUCUUCUCUGGCCUGCAAGAGGAUACAUGCACGGAAAACAGAUACCUGGAGGAAAACAUUGUUGCAAAUACUACACCAGAAAUUCCUGAAGGAGGUUACAUGAGAAAGUCCAGAGUGAUGUCUGUUUGUGUGAAAAAAUCUAUGAAUCUGUGUGUGUCGUUUUACAACAAGGGUUCAUGUAACCCAGAGAUGAGUGACUCUUUCAUCACAUCUUAAGGACACAACUUAAGAUUACUAUGCUUCAUUACUGAUUACUAUGCUUCAUUAGAGGCGUGACGUUAUGAUGUAGUUUAGUGAUCAUCUCGUAUCACACUAAUUAUGUUUUAACAAGGGUAGCGUCAAUAAAGGAGGUAAUGCAACACCAACACAACUUUUUAAGGAAUCAGAUUGUUAUCACAAAUCUUGAAGAGUUUCAUGUCCAUUUUUAUGAUUGGUAAAGAACAGAAAUUACAAAAAAAUAAGUAAUUAAAUAAUUUAAAUCGUUUUUUAAACCUAGAAUCAAACCAAAUCUUGAAGUAUUAUAAAAUCGAAACCAAGGAUCCAAAAGAAAUACAUUCUUAGCAAAAACAAAUAUACUGAGGCGAUGUCAAAAUCUUCUUCUAUGUCACUGUUCGUUAAGACAAAAGGAAUCUUGGUUUUGCACACAAGAUAUGAAUUGCUCCUGAAUCCACAUGGGUUGUUCUUGUAACCUGAACCCUGGUCAACAAUAGAUGGAUUAUUCUUGUACUCUUAACAGAGUGCAAGCAAAUUUUAUAGCCUCAGAUCCUUUGAUUCAAACUCAUUGUGUCUCUAUAACUAUUUUUUCACUCAAAUUAAAUCUAGUGAUAUAAAAUUAAUUACUUCAUUUUGAUUUAUUGCUCUAUGCAUCAAACAUCAUCUUCGCGGAGACUUGAAGCAAGCUUCAAGCCAGGCGAUACAACUCUUCAUAUAUAAAAGCCAUUAAAUUCUAACCAAGCGUCGGUGGUUUUUAACUGCAAUUGAGUAACAGAAACAAUCGGGGACACCACAUAAUAGACUUGGCCUGUGCAGUGAUUGUUUAUAGAAGAACAAAGCUUUGAUCGAAUAUUGAAUGUGAUGAGAUUGAGUAUAAGUUUUCACAUUAUUACAGGGAAAAGGUGAGAAAAUACAGAAGUGGGCAGAAGAAAAUAAUGAUUGGUACCUAUUCUAGACUAAAAAUACACCGUAUUAUCUCAAACAAACUAGCACUGCUGACUCCAUGUCUAUGAAACCUAAAAUUUGCAAUAUUCUAGGUUUGUCGGCCGAUCUAGAACUGGCGUUUUCCAUAAAGACCUCAAAUGUCUCAAUACGUAGUAAUCUUUGAUAGUAUAAUCUAAACUGCCACGGACGUUUCCUGAGGUCUCUUGCUUGUCUUGAUACCGCUGAUAGCUGGACCAAAUACAAAGAAAUUCAAGGCUAUUCUUAGAAGAAUCAUGUACAGUAAGUGCAUAAUUUUUACUGUCUACUGCCAUGAUUAAUGAAAAAGAUUUCUAAGAUUGGAGACGAAGAGUUUAUUCUGAAGCUGGGAUGACGUACCCUUAGCGUAGUCUUUGGCUCCGAAGACUGCAGAUCCAGCGACGAGAGCAUUAGCUCCAGCCUCAGUAACCUAUCAUACACCAAUCAGGAUGUUGACACAGGGCAUCUGGCAAAUUUGCUUGCUCACAAAAAUUACAACAGGGGAUUAUGCUUCGUUUGAAGGAUGGUAAAAAAUGAGGGCAAGAGAUUCACCUUGUAAGCAUUCUUUGGAGUGACACCACCGUCCACCUCAAUCCAUGGGUUCACGCCCUGAACACAGAAGGACGAGACUAAUUUAGCGUGUAAAGAGAGUAUGAUAACAGAAUAUCAUGCAACGAUAAAAAGGCUUCUGCAAUGCAAAAGCCUCGGUUGAAAUAGAACACUACUCACCAAAAUUUCACACAUUUUCCUAAGGUCGCGGAUCUUCUUGACUUGACUUUCAAUGAAACUCUGUCCACCGAAUCCGGGGUUAACGGACAUGAUCAAGAUCAAAUCGACGCCUACGAACAAAAAGACGGCCAAUAUAAGAGAAAGUAAACACUACUUCUCUUGAAGGAUCAAAAAAACUACUGAUAACUUCAACCCCUAAAGGAGUUUACUGAACCUCUCCAAUUGCAAUAUAUGAUCAAGAAUAAAAUGCAGAUCUAGGAGCAUCAACAGUAUCAGGUACUAAAAACGCUCCAAGCUUCAUAAGUAGUUUCAUAUGCCAAAUGAUGUGAUGCAAGUAUGAAUUGAAUGUUCCUUACAGUCCAGAACAUAUUCAAUUUGAGCCAAAGAUGUUCCAGGGUUGAGCACCACUCCAGCUUUUGCUCCCAAACUCUUGAUCUGCACGAGGGCGUAAUCUAGAUUAGAACAAAAACACAAAGCUAUUUCAACCACAGAACGCCCUCGCCUAACAUGCUAAUAAGAAGAGAAACCGAUGCGAAAUGACAGAAGCUUUCGCAUACAUUUCCACCCAUAGAAGAAAUGAGAAUUCUCGGUAUAAACACUGCAAACUGGCUAAUUUUUACUCGGAGGAUGUGCCUGAUUGAUGGUACGAUGUAAGUGGAUCGUGGAGGCGUUCUCGCAAUGCACAGAAACAAUGUCGGCACCAGCCUUGAUGAAAUCUGGGACACGCUGUUCCGGUUCAACGAUCAUCUGACGAACAAAAGCAGCGUAAGGUGGACACCUUGGAAUGAUAUUAACUUCUCUAGCGAUACAGUAAGAAAAGAAACAAACAUCCAACAAGGAUGUAUGCAGAAACUUGCAUUCCUUAAGAAGUUUCUCAAGCGAGAUUAAGCUCGACAUGGUGAGGAACAACAUGAGUAGUCCGACUUAAAAGGUGAAGAUGCUGACCAAGUGGACGUCAAGAGGUAGGUCGGUGACAGGGCGAAUGGCGUCCACAACCAGAGGACCGAUUGUGAUAUUGGGAACGAAACGACCGUCCAUGACAUCAACGUGGAUCCAAUCACACCCAGCCUUCUCAACAGCUGUGAUCUAUUACAAAAAGGUAGCAAACACAAGAAGAUCAGUCUUCCGCUUCACGAAAAUCACACAUCUAAAGGCGAAAAAGAUACCCUACACAUUUAUCAAUUCACCUGCAUUGUGUGUACUAGAGUUAUGAUACAUGGGGCUUACAGUUGUUCUGAUUUACGAAAAGUCAGCAGAUAAAAAUUAACUUCAGUUCACGAAACUGCAGACAUACGACUAGAAUGAGUUCUAAUUGGAAGUCCUGACUCUGAAUUUCAGGACCAAAAAUGGGAAACUACAAUGAGCCUUCUCUAGCAAACAGCAAUCAAUACCGCUAUUGCAGUCUUCAGAACAUGUUCAUGCUUCAAGCCUUUGAGUAAUACAGCAGUUUAAUCCAGAAUUCGUGGCCUGGGUAUACAAAUGGUCAGGGACUCCAAUUCCCAAAAAGGAAGAAACAAUUUGAUACCUGCUCUCCUAACUUAGAGAAGUUGGCGGACAGAAUUGAGGGUGAGACAAUAAUGUCAUUCUUGGAGAAUUUGUCCACACGGGAAGUCGCUUCAACAACUGGUCUGUGAACCCUACCACUGCACUCAAAAGAAAUUUGUGGAUCAACAGAUGAGAUCAACCAUAAAAAACAAGAGUCGGAAUCGAGCUACAAAAAUAAGAAGUGAAAAAAAUAAUAACAAUAAGAAAAAAAAUAAAAAUAAAAACCUCGGCAGAGAAAAACACUCAUAUUACCAAACAUACAACAAAAGGGAGGGAGUGUAGUAGAUUCACGAUCGACACGCGAUUUUGCACCUGGUGGCAGCGAUAGCCUUGCCCACGGGGGCUUUCUCGCCCCAUAAGCUACUCUGCAUAGUGGUCUGCUGCGGCAGCACCGCAGCUGGGGAUUUCACCGCACAUCCUCCGACCACGGCAGCGCCAGUCAUCGCCAUCGCCAUCGUAGACACCCCCUUCUCUCGAAUUCGAAAUAUCCUCAACAACCCAGCAAGUCGAAAAUUGUACCCACUUGAAACACAGCAGCAGACACGAUCUCGAUCGAGGAAUUGGGACGGAGACAACUUGCGCACUACCGAAGUAUCGCCGACGAAUUUACACAACGAUGAAUGAGCACACAAGUACGAAAGAUUUGGGUCCUUGCGGAGAACAGAGAUCUUCGAAGAUAAGGAAAGAGCGGGCGUGAAAUAGGAAAAAAUGCGCACGAAAAUCGACCCUCGACAAAACAGGUGGCUCUCGAACGCCGUUUCUCGUCCCUGAAAACCUGAAAUUCGUCUGAUUCUUAACGAUUCUUCAGAUUCGUCCAUAUCCCUGGCGAUUCGUCGGGUUAAUGGGAGCUACGUGCUCUAGUGGUGACGGAUCUUGUUCUAUCUUCGUCGGUCUGAGUAAGAAUUUACAUAGUUGUUCUAUUUAGUGGCGUUCUCUAUUGAAGGAGUAAUAUCUGUCAGUGGACACAUUUCUUACAGUCGAAAAUUCCAGUAGUAUACAAAUUGUACAUGUAGAUAUACAUACACAAAUUUCAGUGAAGUUCGAGGAAGUGACUAAUUAUAAUAAAAUUACGUGAAACGGAGGAGAAGUGCACUGAACUAAAUAGGAGUAAACUAACAAAAACGAAAUAUUCUUCCGAGUAUAUAGAUAUAUACCUUUUAUAUUUGUUACAAAAUCUAUAUAUUUUCAAAGUUGUGUGUGCUAGGAAGGUGAGAAUUAUAAUUAUUGUUAUUUUUCUUGCUUUAAUGCUAUGAAACUGUCUACGUCAACGAUCAUACACAACCAAGAUUGAUAGAAGGAAAAUGAAUUAGGAAACUGUACAUGACGAAAUGCGAAGUCAGAGAGUCUGUUCCGUCCUUACAUAAGGCUUAAAUGGGGCUCUGAAGAUUCACAACGAUACAAUAAUACCAUGUAGAGGGAUUGUACUCCCUUGUCAGUAACAGAUUCAACGGAAGUGGAAGCGACUGCCUCGGCUCAUGUCACCAACACGUCCAACACAAGACUGAAUGUAGUAAAUACUGAAAAGCGCUGCAAAGCGUAAUCAAGUGGAUGCCAUUGUAAGUAAAAAGCGUGCAGUACAUUCUCAAAUGAAUCAGAGCAUUCCACUAGUGGACGAUAACAUCCCCGAUAUCAACACCAUGCACCUACUCCGUCCUAGUCAAAAAGACUGAAUCCCAUGUCAUCGUCAGACUCUUCCUUUUCCUCAACCUUCUCCUCCUCCUUGGCAGCAGCUGCGGGAGCAGAUGAAGACUCAGUAGCGGCAGGUGCAGCUGCUACAGCAAACUUAGAGGGGUCCUUGAGGUACUCCUUGGUCUUCUCAGCAAGAGGGAAAGAGUACUCAGUCUCCACAGCAAUAGCCAACAAGUUCUUGUACGAGUUGACGAAGGAGUGGGGGACAGCAGCCAAGGUGGGGUAGUUCAGGGCCAGUGACACUGCAGCCACAGUGGAGACACCAGCAGCGAACUUGUCCAACAGGUCGUCUUCGGUCAGGUCCAACACCUCAGGUGCGAAGACUGAACCGUUGUCGUAGAUGUUCACAACGACAAGACCGUAAGAGAAUGGCCUGAUGCCCAACUUCGCCAAAAGCGCAGCCUCGGACGAUCCGACCUUGUCACCCUUGUGGACAAGCUCGACAGGGGCGAUAAUCUCGACAGUACCCUUGUUAAUCUUGGUGGGAAUGUUAAGGACCUGGAGAGUUCAGCAUUCUAUUCGUCAGAAACCUUCAGUUAACAGCGUUUCAUAACUGCCAUAAAGAACGACAUCAGAAAAAGGACACUUGCCCACUGCGAUAAGCUAAAUUGACUGACUGGAAUCUCAUUCAUAGAACAUACCAUAUACCGAAGACCUUACCUGG